rnacentral:lncRNA from 1 species
CAGCAAUAUGGUGGGCCCCAGGAAUAUGAACAACAGCAGUAUGGUGGGCCACAGGAAUAUCAGGCCAGAGGCAGGGGAGGACCGACUCAGCAAGGAGGUCGUGGUAGUUAUGGAGGUGGUCGUGGUGGUGUUGGCCGUGGAGGACCACCUUCUCCUGGUGGGCCAACCAGACCUCAGUUCCCCGAGCUGCACCAAGCAACCCCAGUUCCUUACCAAGGGGCCACCCAUCAAGUUCCUUAUCAAGGGCUCACCUCUCCGCCUGUAUAUGUGGGAAGUUCAUCAUCAUCCCAGCCGCCCGAGCCUUCAGAAGUGGCGGAGCAGCUCGCUGUCCUUACUGUCCAGCAAGAGAGUGCACCUAGCCAGGCUAUUCAACCGGUGGCACCCUCGAGUAAAUCAGUCAGGUUCCCGCUUCGCCCUGGUAAGGGUAGCACUGGCAGAAGGUGUACAGUCAAGGCAAACCAUUUCUUUGCAGAAUUACCUGACAAAGACCUCCACCAGUAUGACGUAAGCUCUCUUGCCAUUUGUCUCUAUCUUUUGAUAUUGUACUACGGUGGAUAAUAUAUCUUUUCAUCAUAUGUAUUAGGUUACCAUUACGCCGGAGGUCACAUCAAGGGGUGUAAAUCGUGCUGUGAUGGAGCAGCUGGUGACACUGUACAGGGAAUCCCAUCUUGGAAAACGUCUACCAGCUUAUGAUGGACGAAAGAGCCUGUAUACUGCCGGCCCACUUCCUUUCCUUUCAAAGGAGUUUAAAAUCACUCUUACUGAUGAUGAUGAUGGUCCAGGUGGACAAAGGUGCGUACUCACAGCUCUUUAUUUUUAGUUACAUUUUUUCUGUGCACUCUUAUUUUGUAUGUAUUUGAUCAUGGCUUCUUCUUGAUGGCAGGAGAGAGAGGGAAUUUAGGGUUGUCAUAAAAUUUGCAGCACGUGCUGACCUUCACCAUUUAGGUCUCUUUUUGCAAGGGAGGCAAGCUGAUGCACCUCAAGAGGCGCUUCAGGUUUUGGACAUUGUUCUGCGCGAAUUGCCUACUUCUAGGUAAACAAUUUCUUCCGCGUGUUGAUGACAUGAUGACACAUUCUUGUUUUAUAUGUUUGAUAGCUAAUUUUUUCCUCUUUGUUUGUAGGUACUGUCCCGUGGGCCGUUCAUUUUAUGCCCCUGGUUUGGGUAGAAGACAGUCACUUGGUGAGGGUUUGGAAAGUUGGCGUGGGUUUUAUCAGAGUAUUCGUCCAACUCAGAUGGGGCUGUCUCUGAAUAUUGGUACUUAAUUUUGUGCUAUCCCAACAUGCAUCAUUUCUGUGAAUAACAGAUUAUCUACUUUCAUCAAUUUGAUUGUAGUAAUUGUGAUGUGUUACACUGCAUAGUUAUUCCGCUGAUUGGUGUUUUGUUUACAUGCUGUCUAGAUAUGUCCUCUACUGCUUUUAUUGAGCCGCUGCCAGUUAUUGAGUUUGUAACACAGCUACUGAAUCGGGAUGUUACACAUAGGCCACUCUCUGAUUCUGAUCGUGUAAAGGUUAGGUUUCCGUCAUUGUUUCCGUUUUGGUGAUUUAAUUGUUUCUAUUGAGUGUUUGUUUCAAAGUGUGACAAUUAUUGGGGUGUUGGUACUUUUAAUCUGUUUCGUGUUUCCUUGUGCAUUUCUGUUUGUGAAAAUUAACUUACAUGUGUAAAAACUCGUUGACUGGGGUUAAUGUUUGUGUAGUUAUUUUUGAGGUAACCUUUCAUUCUUAUAUAUUCACUUAAAACUAUAUGUUUUAUAGAUCUGAUGCUGUAGAUGCAGCGUGUAUCACGGUUGAUGUACAGCUAUAUUUGCCAUCAUUUUUAUAUUAGAUAUCAUAGUAACCUUUUAAUUGUGAACAGAUAAAAAAGGCUCUUCGUGGAGUCAAGGUUGAGGUCACACACCGAGGAAAUAUGCGCAGAAAGUACCGUAUUUCUGGUUUAACGUCGCAGGCAACAAGGGAACUGACGUGAGUACUUAUUAACUUUUAUAUUUGUAUAUUUCUUAUGCUUUCCUAUGCUUGUAUAUUUCUUAACUUCGUAUUUGUAUUAAGAGCACAUUGAGGUGUGUGAAACUUGUUUCCCUGAUAUUGUAUUUUGUCCGUUCAGUUUCCCUGUUGAUGAAAGAGGAACUAUGAAAUCUGUUGUUGAGUACUUCUAUGAAACUUACGGGUUUGUCAUUCAACAUGCACAAUGGCCUUGCCUUCAAGUUGGAAAUCAGCAGCGACCGAACUAUUUGCCCAUGGAGGUGAGUUGUUUCUAUAAUUUCUAGCUUGUAAAUACUAGAUGUGGAUGCUAAUGAGCAGUAACUGGAUUCAGGUUUGUAAAAUUGUCGAAGGUCAAAGGUAUUCCAAGAGAUUGAACGAGAGACAGAUAACUGCUUUGCUUAAGGUCACCUGCCAGCGCCCUCAUGACAGGGAGCAAGAUAUUAUUCGGGUGUGUUAUCUUUUGAUUAUUCUAUUUAUCAUGACAUAUUUUUUGUUGCAGUUGAUGCCAUGAGCCCUUUGCUUACUGCUUUGUUAUUUGAUAAUAUUGUCAUCUUGCUGUCCUUAACUUUUAUCUUCUGUGUCAUAAUUUAAAUGCUCACAUCAUUUGAAGUUUUAUGGUAGAAGGCAUCUCUUAUCCAGAAAUACAAUUGAUGGUGAUAUGUUAAUUCCCAGUUUAAUAUUUUUGUACAUGUUACAGACGGUUCGUCAUAAUGCUUACCAUGAAGAUCCUUACGCCAAGGAGUUUGGAAUCAAAAUUAGUGAGAAUCUGGCUCAGGUUGAAGCUCGUAUUCUUCCUGCACCCUGGGUAAGAUAUGUAAUUGCGUUCAGUCCCAAAAGGUACUUUGAUAGUAUAUCUGUAUUGAUUUUUAUUUUGCGUAGCUGAAAUAUCAUGAUACUGGACGGGAAAAGGAUUGCCUGCCCCAAGUUGGUCAGUGGAACAUGAUGAAUAAGGUAAUAUUUUGGCACCCCUCUAAACCCUUAUUUACGUUGACUUAAGUGUGUGGUCAAUGUGAUCUACCUUUCGACCCAAAGAAAGUCCUAUUAUUUAUGCAUUAAUGUUUCUUUAAUGCCUUUAUUUAUUGUCUUCAGUCACACAUGUGAAAUUAUAUAUCUGGAUAUUUGUAUGAUUGACUUUUUAACUGUUUACCCACUUUACUAUGUGAUUAUUCAUAUAGUAGUUCCAAUGUUUUAAAAGGCUCGCCUUAGGGUGCGCCUAGGUGCCCUGUGAGGCUGGGCUUAAGGGUUGCCGCCUCUGUUUUGAGGGAGUGGGCGGAAGGCGUCGGAAGGCACCGCCUAGGCACGCCUCAGGGGAUUUUUUUAUUUUAUUUUAUUUUUAUUAACUCCCAAACCCAAAUUUUGGGUAGGGUUUUAACUGCCUCAUACCUCUUCCUUGCACUAUCAUCUCUCUGCCUUUUUUUCUGAUUUUUAUUUUUUUAUAUAAUGGAUGUGUGUGCUGUCUGCAUGCAUUGUUAUAUGUGUGCUCAUUGUGCUUUUCAUCCUCUAUUAUAUAUAUAUAUAUAAAAUAUAAUAUUUAUAUAUAUGUGUGUAUAUGUAUUUAUAAUAUGUGUGUGCUCAGGGUAAUUAUUGAUUAAUAAUCUUCUUCUUUUUUUAAUGUAAUAUAUGCGUAUGCUCAGUGUAUAUAUUAAAAAAUUUAGGUCCCGUGAGGCUUCGCCUCAUGCCUAGGCUGGGCUAUCCCUCAAACGCCUCACCCACGCCUCACCCACGCCUCACGCUUUUAAUACAUUGAGUAGUUCUCAUGUUUACGUGGUUAAUAAAUACUUAGUUGGACAUAUGGUUAUAUCUGUAGACAAAUGAAUGUCCCAUGUCUUGCUCAAUUAUUACAGCCCAUUUGGAUUACUAUGAUAUUUUGCAGAAAAUGGUCAAUGGAGGAAAAGUAAACAAUUGGAUUUGCAUUAAUUUUUCAAGAAAUGUUCAAGACAGUGUGGCCCGGUCCUUCUGUAAUGAACUUGCUCAAAUGUGUUACAUUUCUGGCAUGGUAUGGAAAUUUUCUUUAUUAUUACGGUUUCCACUGGCUUUAAUUGCAUUGUUAGUUUUCUAUAUUUGGAUUUCUCUGAUGCUGAAGUGUAUUUUUUUAUAGGCGUUUAAUCCAGAACCUGUACUUCCACCACUCGGAGCUCGACCUGAUCAGGCAGAGAAGGCCUUAAAAACUAGGUACCAUGAUGCAAUGACCAAACUCCGGCCCCAGAGCAAGGAGCUUGACCUGCUUGUCGUGAUUUUACCAGAUAAUAAUGGCAAUCUUUACGGUAUGUGUUUGAAAUCGUUUGGCUCCAUUAUCUCUUUCUGCUUUUUAUUUCUCUCUAUAAUAUCGUCCCAAUUUUGUGUUGUCCUGAAGUUCUAGAUUCUUGUAUGUACUGAUAUCCAUCCAGGUGACUUGAAACGAAUUUGUGAGACGGAUCUUGGCCUGGUAUCCCAGUGCUGUUUGACGAAACACGUUUUCAAAAUGAGUAAACAAUACUUGGCAAAUGUUGCUUUGAAGAUAAAUGUGAAGGUUGGCGGAAGGAACACAGUACUUAUUGAUGCACUGUCAAGACGUAUUCCUUUAGUCAGUGACCGUCCUACUAUAAUUUUUGGUGCUGAUGUUACCCAUCCUCAUCCAGGGGAGGAUUCAAGCCCAUCAAUUGCAGCUGUAUGUUGUCGAUUAUAUCUAUGGGUUUUAGCUAGUGCUUUUGUAUUUGUCUUGAAUUCACAUGGAGAGUCACAGUUUAAUUGUUCACAUGUCGUUUAUGACACAGGUUGUGGCCUCACAAGACUGGCCAGAAAUUACCAAGUACGCUGGCUUGGUCUGUGCUCAAGCUCAUCGCCAGGAGCUCAUCCAGGACCUGUUCAAAACAUGGCAGGAUCCUCAGAGGGGUACUGUAACUGGUGGAAUGAUAAAGUCUCUCUCUCCCUCUCUCUAUCUCUCUCAAUUAUAUUAAUUCUCUACUUAGUGGGGAUUGUUAGGAAUUGUAGAACUGAGUUAAAUUUGUAUGUUAAUGUAGGGAACUGCUGAUUUCAUUCCGUAGAGCAACAGGACAGAAGCCACAGCGCAUCAUAUUUUACAGGCAUUUAAUGCUCCUUUGCCAUUGUUUGUGUCCUAUGUACUUCUCCUAUUUCUAAUGGUGUGUGUAUACACGUUUGUGUUUUCAGGGACGGUGUCAGUGAAGGGCAGUUCUACCAAGUUCUACUAUACGAGCUUGAUGCGAUUCGUAAGGUGAACUUGCAUUUUUGGGAUUAUUCUUUAGUAUAGUUGUGCAUUUUGUUCUUUUUUAGUAAUAUUAUUAACCUCUUUUUGCUUCUGGCAUUGUUUUCUUCUUCAGGCUUGUGCUUCCUUGGAGCCAAACUAUCAGCCACCUGUGACUUUUGUUGUGGUUCAAAAACGGCACCACACCAGGUUGUUUGCCAACAACCAUAAUGACCGUAAUGCAGUUGACAGGAGUGGAAAUAUCUUACCUGGUAAUUAAUUUUACUGAAUAUGAAAUGUUUGGAUGAUGUAGUUCAGUUUUCAUGCUUGUUAUACGGAACUUUUACCCAAUUUUUUCUGCAGGUACGGUUGUGGACUCCAAAAUCUGUCAUCCAACAGAGUUUGACUUCUACCUCUGCAGCCAUGCUGGAAUUCAGGCAAUGAUUUUUCCUUGUGUUUUCAGUGGGGUGUGUGUUUGUGAAGCAGCAUGUUUAUAAAUCUGUAUACACCAUGUUUUGACAGGGUACAAGCCGUCCGGCUCAUUACCACGUGCUGUGGGAUGAAAACAAGUUUACAGCUGAUGAACUGCAGUCACUCACAAACAAUCUUUGCUAUACGUAAGUUGGCUAAUUUAGCAGUUUCAGUCAUUGAAAUUUUUAUUUAUUCAUAUUUUCGAAUCCUUAAACUCCAGUGCUGAAUAGUUGAUCUUUUGAACUCUUGCAGGUAUGCAAGAUGCACGCGUUCGGUUUCCAUUGGUAGACUCUCUCUGAUGCUUUCUCAUUAUUUUCUUGUUUGUACUUAAAAUAGGCAGUGUUCUGAUCUUAGCUUUAAAAUUGCAGUUCCUCCGGCGUACUAUGCCCAUCUUGCUGCAUUCCGAGCUCGGUUUUACAUGGAACCAGAGACAUCAGACAGCGGAUCAAUGACCAGUGGUGCUCCUGGACGUGGGGGCAUGGGUGGCGGUAUGGGUCCGCGGAGCACGAGAGCACCAGGUGCAAAUGCUGCAGUGAGGCCCUUGCCUGCCCUCAAGGAGAAUGUCAAAAGGGUUAUGUUCUACUGUUAGAGAGAGAGAGAGAGAGGGAGAGAGAGGAGUCGUUUAGUAGAGGUUGCGAAGAGAUGUCGCCUCAAGAGUGUAGGAAGAUUAUGCAUUGUAAUGUCGUCGUUUUGGAGUCUGCCUAGUGCCAAAGGGUGUCUAUAGCCUUUGCUGCACCUGUGUUUUAGAUGUCUGUCGGUUAGUAUUUGAAAUUUGCCGUUGCAACUGACUGGUAUGCGGUUGUUACUGCACUGCGCCAGUCAGGUGUUUUGGCAAGUUAGUAAUCUUAUGCUCUCGUUUAGAUGGAAUUCGGACAACUAAAACUAGUUGCUGCUUUCGUUUAAUUUAUUAAGUGUCUUGUCUUGUACAACUUUCAGCUUUAAUUCUCUUGUUGGAAUGCAUUCUUGCGCUUUGUUUUAAAGGAAAACUAAUGAAAAAAAUUUGAAACUCUAAGUUUUAAUGAAAAUGUGUUGCAAGUGAAUAGUAUAAGAAUUGACUUUUUAGUGUAAAAAUAUGGUUUUUCAUUAAACAGUAUUGUGAGCUUUUUGUUAAAAUUUUCUUGUUUUAAUUUAUCUUAAAGAAAUAACAUAAAAGAAGAAUGAUAUGGUUUUUUAUUUCCAAGGGAUUAUGGGAUUAGACAUUUGCGAAAAGUAUCUUUCUAAGUCUACUAUUUUCAUGAGAUUGAAUGGAUAAGUUUUAUUCGUAAGAAAUCCGUCGAGUUUUUCAUUUCUUCCUUCAAGCUUCUUAGAAAUACUUUAUUCAUUCUAUUCCAAUAUUCUCUACGAAAUGAGGCUUCUCUCGCAUACAAAUUUCUGUUUUCCUCGGUCAAUUUGAAGUGCAAAGUAGUUUUCCUUUGUCUAUUACGUUAUGCAGACGACAAGGUUGAUAUGUCAAAGAUUUAGGUAUAAUGUUAAUAAUUAGUUUUGUACUAGUAAGGGUGUAUUGUUGGUGUUACUAGUUUAUUUAUUAUUUUAUACGGACAACAAGAUUGAUAUGUCAUAAACUUCGAGCAUUAAUGAAAUAUUCACGUAAUAUGAAUGAAUGUAUUGGUAACACUUAGUGACAGUGUGUCAUGAUUGUGGUGGUGAAAAAACGUGUGGACAAUUUGAGGUAAAACAUGUCGUAAACUUGAGAUCGGAACAAGGAUAAAAAUGCACGUUUACGAAGACCAAGUACGAAUUGCUUGAGAUUCUUUCCCUCCACUUUUAAAACAAAUAUACCACAACGAACGCCAAAUCUGGUUGAUUUGCUUUAACCCAUUUUAUAAUUCCUUUCUUGCUUUCAUCUUUCCUUUCCCACAUAAAGGCAUUAAAGAAUAAAGGUUGUUCUUUCUCCUCCCAUGGCAAUUUCAGCCAUACGUAACCUAACCACUCUUCUCUUCCUGCAUUUUAAAGUUCCCUAUAAAUUCACCAAUAAACGAAACCAACGUUCAUUAAACUAAACCAACUUCGAAGAUCGCUUGUGAUCGGUUGUGCUAAUUAGUUGACUGAAAUGGCUUCCACCUCCUCAGCUUUGAAGCGAUCUGAUACGAUUGCAGAAACCAUGCCAGAUGCACUCAGGGAGAGCCGCUUUCAUAUGAAGAAAUGUUUUGCCAGGUUCUUUGAUUUUUUUUUCAUACAAUAUUUAUUUAUUUAUUCAUUAUAUGUUUGUGAAAUUCGAGUCUUGAUGUUCUUGUUUAAUUAAUUAUUAAUUAACAAAUUUAAACAUGCGUGCAAAAAGUUUUGUUGGAACGGGGAAAAGGCUAAUAAAGCCCCAGCAUAUAAUGGAGGAGCUGGAAAAAUCGAUAGAAGACAGGCAUGAAAGAAGCAAGGUCUUGGAGGGUUUACUUGGUUACAUCCUCAGUCGUACUCAGGAGGCAGCUGUUGUUCCACCGUAUGUCGCUUUUGCUGUGAGACCGAAUCCCGGUUUCUCCGAAUUUGUUAAGGUGAAUGCAGAUGACCUAGCAGUGGAUGGCAUUUCUGCUACCCAAUACUUGAAGUUCAAAGAAAUGAUCUUUGACGAAAGCUGGUACGUAUUAUACGCAUGCGUAUGUAGCUACGUGUAUAUAUAAUAUAUAUGCGUAACUGCUGUCAUAUUAAUUUGAGCGAUGCAUGCAUGCAACAGGGCGAACGAUGAAAAUGCUUUGGAAAUAGAUUUUGGAGCCUUCGAUUUCUCUACUCCUCGAAUGACUCUUCCUUCUUCGAUCGGAAAUGGACUCAACUUCGUCUUAAAGUUAAUCUCAUCAAGGCUCAGUACUCAUGCCAGCUGCUCCGAUUAUGCUAAACCCCUCCUUGACUACUUAUUACCACUUAAUUAUCACGGAGAGGUAGAAAUCACAUAUGUCACUUUUGUUUGAGAUUAACUGAUUAAUUACUUGAUCUUUUGCGGCCUCUCUAUUAAUUUGUUCUAAUUAAAGUACAAUGUAUAUAUAUGCAGAAUCUUAUGAUCAAUGAAAGUCUGGAUACCGUUGAAAAACUCCAAACCGCAUUGAUCCGAGCAGAAGUACUCGUCUCCACACUUCCAAAAACCACACCAUUUCCGAAUUUUGAGCAAAGGUUAUCUCUCAUGCACCUUAACUAAAGAAUGUAUGUGUUAUAUAUAUAUGCUGCAGAUCUUGAUUUUUUAUAUACGGACAAAUGUAUUUAAUCUUGAUCAGGUUUAAAGUGUUGGGUUUUGAGAAGGGAUGGGGAGAUACAGCAGAAAGAGUUGGGGAGACAAUGAGGUUGCUGUCAGAAGUACUCCAAGCGCCAGACUCGGUGAAGUUGGAGUCGUUGUUUAGCAGACUUCCUAACACAUUCAACAUCGUUAUCUUCUCUCCUCACGGCUACUUUGGCCAGUCGAAUGUCCUUGGAUUGCCCGACACGGGUGGCCAGGUGGUUUAUAUUCUUGAUCAAGUGAGAGCUUUGGAGGAAGAGUUGCUUCUCAGAAUAAAACAACAAGGCCUUGCUGUGAAACCUCAGAUUCUUGUGGUGAGCUGGACUGACUAUGCAUAAACAAAAGAAUACUGAAUAAUGUGUACAUAUUGCAUUUCUAAUUUGUACUUUGUACCUACAAUGUAUGUACGUACCUGUCAUGUACACAGGUGACACGACUUAUACCAGACGCUCGAGGAACAAAAUGCAACCAGGAGUUGGAAGCUAUCAUCGACACUAAGCACUCCCACAUCCUUAGGGUUCCAUUCAGGACAGAAAAAGGCGUUCUCCGCCAAUGGGUUUCUCGUUUCGAUAUCUACCCUUAUCUCGAGACAUUUGCACUGGUUCAUCUUCUCACUCUAGCUGUCAUAUAUGUGACCAAUUUAGUCUACUGAUCUCAUUUCUCCAGUACUCGUCAUGAGUUUUUGGAAAGAAAAAGUACGAUUUACAUAUUUAUUCUGUUCUCAUCGUUGUUUCUUAGGAUGCAACUGCAAAGAUCUUACGACACAUGGAAUGCAAACCGGACCUCAUAAUUGGGAACUACAGUGAUGGAAACCUGGUGGCCUCUCUGAUUGCUUCUAAACUUGGAAUCACUCAGGUCUAAGUCUAUACACGUAAACACCUCCUUCGAUAUAUAAUUGUUGGUUAAAAACUUGAAUCUCAACUUAAUUAACUUGUUCCAAGUAAUUAACCCUCUGCAGGGAACGAUUGCGCAUGCGCUAGAAAAGACCAAGUACGAAGAUUCUGAUGCCAAAUGGAAGGAAUUUGAUCCAAAAUACCACUUCUCUUGUCAGUUCACAGCUGACAUAAUCUCUAUGAAUUGUGCUGAUUUUGUCAUAACAAGCACAUUCCAAGAAAUUGCCGGAGGGUUAGUAGUCUUUUAUGCCAAAACCAUAAUUACUUGACACAAUCGUCUCCUUAAUCGAUCGAUGUGUUCUUUUCAUGUUGCAGCAAGGACCGACCUGGACAGUACGAAAGCCAUACAGCAUUUACAAUGCCAGGACUUUAUCGAGUCGUGUCAGGCAUUGAUGUGUUUGAUCCAAAGUUCAACAUUGCUGCCCCUGGUGCUGACCAAUCCGUCUACUUUCCCUACUCCGAGAAACAAAAACGAUUUACCAAGUUUCAACCUGCCAUCGAAGAACUACUCUACAAGAAAGAGGAAAACGAUGAGCACAUGUAAUUAAUUCUUACACAUCUGUCAAUUCUUGCACAUUUGUUGUGGCAAUUUCUUAAUGAAAACUCUUGAAAAAUAAAACAUGGUUGGAACAGAGGAUUUUUGGCAGACCAGAAGAAACCGAUCAUAUUCUCAAUGGCAAGGCUGGACACAGUGAAGAACCUCACAGGACUCGUUGAGUGGUUUGGAAAGAACAAGAGGCUGAGGAAUUUGGUCAAUCUUGUAAUCGUUGGGGGAUUCUUCGAUCCAUCUAAAUCCAAAGACAGAGAAGAAAUUGCUGAAAUCAAGAAACUGCAUGCCUUGGUGCAAGAAUAUCAACUUAGCGGUCAGUUCAGAUGGAUAGCGGCUCAGACUGACAGAUACCGAAAUGGGGAGCUGUACCGGUGCAUUGCAGACACAAAGGGAUCUUUCGUGCAGCCUGCGCUGUACGAAGCGUUCGGUCUCACAGUCAUUGAGGCCAUGAACUGUGGGUUGCCUACAUUUGCAACCAACCAAGGAGGCCCUGCAGAAAUCAUUGUGGAUGGCGUCUCAGGUUUCCAUAUUGAUCCCAACAAUGGUGAUGAAUCCAGCAACAAGAUUGCUGACUUCUUUGAGAAAUGCAAGACGGAUGGCGAAUACUGGAAGAAGAUGUCAGCUGCCGGUCUGCAGCGUAUAAACGAAUGGUAUGACUGCAGGCCUAUUUGAGACUGUUUUUGGAAUAACUAAAGUGUUUUGCAAUAACGAAAAGCAUUUCUAACUACGUUUUAAACCUCAAGAACACUUAAACGCACUUGUAGCAAAAGGGUUUGCUAUUGUGCAUGAUCUUAUUGAUUUUUGGUUUUCUUGCAGCUAUACAUGGAAGAUAUAUGCAAACAAAGUGUUGAACAUGGGAUCAACUUAUGGAUUUUGGAGGCAGUUGAGAGACGCGCAAAAGUUAGCCAAGGAAACCUACAUUCAUAUGUUUUACAAUCUCCUCUUUAGGAAAUUGGUACGUCUCGUGAUUCUGACCCUGCCAUAAUCACUCUUAAACAGGCCGUAAAAUACACGUUGUAUGUUAAUGCAGGCAAAGAAUGUGGCUGUCCCAAGUGAUGGAUACGAACAACCGGCGCCAAAGGCCGUAACUGCAUCUGUCGACCAACGCGCGCCGGCAGCAGUAUCCAAACCUCCGCAGCCAGAUGCAGCACCAACCUUAGCAAUCCCUCAGCUGACACCAAGGUAUCUAAUUAGUACGUAACGUAGGGAACUUGCUUAAUUAAAUUCAGAAUUUUUUUAAUGCUAAUUAGAUGGAUUAAUUCAUUUGGCAGGGAGAGGGAUGAAGGUGGGGAGCUUGGCCAACCUCGAAGCCGCAGCAGAGCACGAUGCCCAUGGAAUUGCUGCUGCGUCAUCCUUGGUUUUCUCAUCAUUCUUUAUUACAAGAUUAGGAAUAUGUACAAUUAAGUGUUAAGUGUAUAAAUAAAUUAAAAUUGAAGCGAUAUCAACUCACAAUGAUCAUGUAAAUUUUAAAUUCUCUCCAACUUCCAAUAAAACAAUAAAGAUCAGUUACAGUAUUCAGUAUUCUGUAUUCUGUAUUCUUUUUUCCUUUUUUUUUUUCCUAAAGGAAGCCACACUUUCCCUUCUUCUCCGCCCGUCUUCUUCCGCAAACUGUACUGCAGUUUCAAGUUUCUACCAACGCAAUUUAAGCCAAUUUAUAUAAUUUGAACAAAUAUAAGUUUCCAACAAUAAUUUAAAUGUCUGCUUUCGUGUAUGGGGGGUUGUAGGCAAGGGAGAAGAGGAUCUGUGACAAUCACAAAUUUCAGUUCACUACAGCAACUGCAAUUGCAGUGACUGAGGCUGGGGAUUUGGUGGCGGUGAGAGGUGUGGAUGAACGACUGGGGAAGGGAGGGGAAGGUGGCCUGGCGUUUUCAGGGUUUAGGUGGAUAAAUUUUUAGAUUAAAUUUACAAAUGUGACAUGGCACUAAUAAAAAAUAAGUAUGUUCGUUAAUAAUUUAAUAAUAAUUCAAUUAUCAGUUAUUACGUUAUACAAUUUAUAAAAUAUAAUUUAAGUAGAUGAUAUUCUUAACAUUACUCGUUUUAUAGUUCAAACGCGUUUUAAAAUUUAUAAGCAAUUGUUAUUGGUGGAUUAAUAUUGUAUUAUAUUUUUAAUAGAAAGUUAACGAAAGUGACUAAGAUGCAAACAUUGUCAAACAUUGUGAUUAAAUUGGCUAAGUUAAAAUCGAACUUACUAAAAUAAAUUUGACAAUCACACAGUAAUUAAAAAUAAAAUCCUGUUUUAUAUAUAUAUAUAUAUAUAUUACAGUAAUUGAUUUGAUAGCGAUUUUGAUAAGGCCCCCCUCAUCAACUUGAUUUGAUAGCGAUUUUAAGGGCCUCCUCCUCCUCAUCAACUGAUUCAACUUUGUGAAAUGGUCCUGCACAAAUAAUAUAACUUUGAACGUUAAAACCAGAAACUAAACUGAAUCAAUCAUCCCCCACUAAAUCUUCUUUACUUUUCCAAUUUCCACUUGCACACCAAAAUUCAAAAUUUAAAUUUAAAUUUGUGGAGGAAAAAUUCCAAGAAAUAAAUGAGUAGUGGGUCCUGCUGUGCUGGCAGUGGCAGGCACCAGGCACUGCCACCCUCGGCCACGGUGGACCACUUUGUUUUUAACGUGGCAAUUUACUCUUUGGACGUGAUUAAGAAAGAUAUAUUGAUAAUAGAAUAAGAUCUUUUCCGGAUUAGGGAAUUCGGAUGAUCAAUCUAUCAUGUUUGUCUAUCGUAUAUAAUACGGUUAUAAAUUAUUUUAAAAUUUUAAUUUAAAAUUGAAUAUAGCACCUAACAAAAAUUAACAGCACGAUAUACGAUAAACAAACAUGAUUAAUUGAUCUUUAGAUCCCACAAAGAUGAUUCAAAUAGAAUCCUUGUCCGUGGAUAGUCAAGGAGGUAAACGACGACCAUGCCAGUGCACGUGCCACUCUAUACCACAUGCAUUUGCAUUGCCACUACCUCUUCUUGAUUUUUUAAGAAAAUGUUACCAGAGAUAAAAUUUGAAAAAUAAAAACUAGGUCAAGUGGACAUAAAAAGUCUAAACAUUUAAUUAUUUAACUUAAGUAUGAAUAACUAUUUAAUUUUAGGAUGAUAUUAGUCUCAACAUUUUAAAAUAUUUUUAGUAAUUAUUUAACGUUUUAAAAAAUAGACAUAUAUUAAGUUACCAUUGUAAUUGAUGAAGGCAAAUAUUCAAAUAAUUUUAACAGACACGGUGAAAUCAUAUCACCAACACUUAAUGCUAGUGACUUAACAAGUGCAUAAUUCUCAAGUCGUUAGGUAUUUGUUUAAAAUGUAUUAAAAAGUUGAAAACAAUUUAGAAUCAUCCUUGUUAGGUAACUUUUUUUACGUAAGUAACACAAAUUUGUAGACAUGUGCAUAACUAAAUUGACUAGAGUAAUGUACUCUCCCAUCUGAAUCUGAAAUUGAAUCUCUCUCCUUUAAUGUAUAAUAUCAUCAGUUGUAAAAAAUAAAAGGACUUAAUACAAACCCCCCAAAUCUCCAGGACUCCAAUUCUAAUUUAUAGAUUAGUAUGUGAAAAAAUAAAAAGGUGUUAGACUAAUUUGGCAAAUGGUGAUGCUAGAAAAAUUAUUUACUUGAAUCAUAUUUUAUAGAUCAUAUAAUGUGUCAGUUGAUAGUUGGAUUUGUACAUUUAAUUCAAUUCAUUAAAUUAUUAAAAAAAAAGAAUUCAAUCAUCAACCGUCACAUUAGUCUACAAAAUAUAGUCUAAACACAUGAUGUUCUUAGCAGUUUCUUUGGUAAAUAAAUUACGAAACGAGUUUCGAAGUGUAUAUUCUGUCAAUGAUCAAUCAAUCAACGGGGUUUGGACUUUGGCCUAAGAAUAAAUCUUGAAGAGGCAAAUUUAUAAUUUAUAAAAUUGAACAAUAAUUAUUUAGGGAAGUUAUGCUUGAUUUAUGUGAUUCACAAUGAAUGGUACCUUUCCUUUCGUAAUCAAUGUUGGAAAUUAACCCCAAAAUAAAAUUAAAAAAAUUAAAAAAUCGACGUAGAAAUCAAAGCCAAGAGGUAAGACACCGACGAAAUACGACGAGGACGCUUUCUUCGUAAGCUCGUGGAUGGAUGAGGGGAAUAUUUUGAGGAAUCUUUAUAUAUAAUUGAGAGAAUAUAAUUAUAAUUAUACACUCAUCGUCAUCGAAAAACAUCCAAAAUAGAAAAAUAAGAUAUAAAAUUGGUUUUCUUGAUGAAGAUGCAUGUUCAUAGGCUAACCUCGAAGACAGAAAUGAGCUGUACUACUAACACUAAAUAUUUCCUAAAAACUGCGAACAUAAAAUUAACAAAAGACAGUAAAACAUUAAGUGAUGAAUUGCCUUAGUAUAGUUUAAACCAGUAAUAUCGAUUGUAAUAAAAAAAAAAAAACUAAUUAAGUGUUUUAGUGUGUUAAAUAUUCUAUACUAUGCAUCAUGGAGAGAUGGCAAAAUUAGGCACAAAAUUAAGAAAUUUCAAAACUAGACAGAAAAUUAAUGAACAUAGCGUUGAAGUAUGGGAUGCAGGCUUGCAGCUGAAUUGAAUUGAAGAAUUGGGCACAAAAUAAAGAAAACUCCAAAUUUUGAAAAGUCUUCUCUCUAUUAUUGAUGCAAUUCCCAACGUUCCCUCUUGUGAUUCAUGUUAGACUAAUGACUAGUGGUCACCAAAACAACACAUGUUAUGUGUGGGCAUCGUUUGACUUGGCAACUGGCAACCAAAAAUUAAAUCCAUUCCCCCAAAUGGGUUUCACAUAACAAGUUCGUUUUGAAAUUGUUUAAGGCUUUUGAUUGAUUAAUUUUGUGAAAGAAUAUACAUUUAGGCUUUUGACAUGACAUGAUAUAUUAAUUCCUUGAAUUUUGGAAGAGGAGAGGCUGAUUUAAACUCCAUGCUGGCCUGGCGGCUGGCCUCAAUGUCUGUCCGCUAUGUGCAAUGAUUUACUGGUAAAAUUAUAAUUAUAUAUAUUUCGAUAAUAACUAGAAUUAUAUGUAAAUUGUUCCAGGGGUGGACAUUAUUAAUUUAUUAUAUAUAUGCAGAUGCUUGCGUGCGGUAUAUAUAGAUGGACUAACCCUAGUUAGUACUUACCUUACCUAGUGGACUGGUACAAGCUAUGGAGGUCAUCUCUUCAAUUUUCAAUUUAUAUAUGAAAAAUUAUUAAUUUUAUUCCUUUAUGUAGAUUCUAGAGCUUUAGAGGUCUUAAUUAAAAGGUACAUAUUAACCGAAGGAUAAUAAGGCUCAGCGGAAGAAACAAUUAGCCAGGCAGGCCGGCAGGCAGGCAGGUAAUACAAGUUGACAUCUCGUAGUAGCAAAACAAUCAGGGAAUUAAGACUCGAGGCGGAGUUUGCCGAAUUAUAUCCAUCCGACAGUCCGACUCCAAAAGCAAGCGAGCGAGAGAGAGAGGGAAGUAAGAAUGAGCAAAUUAUCGGCAGAUGAAGCAGCUGGAAAUUAUGUUAGCGAGAAUGAUAUGAUGAAAUUGCCAAUAUCAUCAUCACCAUCGUCACCAUCAUCCAACGGUGGAAAAGGAUCAUCAGGCUGCAGUAACCGAGCGUUGGUGGUGAAGAGGAUUCUAAGGGCGACGUUGCUGUUUGUGGCAGCCACUGUGGGUUGCUUUAUCAUCUCCGGAUUUCUGCUCGGAUCCUAUUAUGACAACGGUUUGUCUUCUCAUCAGGCCAGUACUCUCUCUCUCUCUCUCUCUCUCUCUCUCAUGUUCUAUUUUGCGUUCAUCCGAAGGCUUGUUAUUUUAGUUCAUAAUUAAUGCCGGCAUAUUCCAACAGCAGCAUGUUUUAUUUAUUAGUUUUUCUGAUAACGUUCGAUUACAGAUAUAAAAAAUCAAAGUGGUGGUAAUUACUUGUAGACUCUUGGAGCAAAUUAGGUAAAACAAUAUAUUUUUGUUGUAUGCUAGCUAAUCUGAAAUCAAUAUAUACAUAAUUAUAAAGGAUUUGGCACUCAGAUAAUUAUGUUUAUCGAUAUAUGUUUCAUAAUCUUCAAUGGCGAAGAGAGAGAGAGAAGUCAAUUUGCGUUUCUGGAAUUCUAAUAAUACUUGUCCAAAUAGUAGACUUUUUGUUUCUGUUUGCUCACAUUAAUCAAAGUUUUAAGAUCAUUACCUUUCGCUCUACGCAUCGAUCCAUGCCAAUUUUUGUUUUCUCAACCAAUUUAAUUCGGAUUUUACCCAUAUUUUAUAAUUAGCUAUCUCUCUUUGUAUAUACUACUUUUCUUUUUUAUCCUGUAAUUGUGGAUGCUACAUGACUCAAAAACGGGUUAAUGCUUUUACACAUGUAAUGGCUGUCCUUGUCGUGUGUACUGGCACACUUACUCCCCUCCGGGUCGGGGCCCAAUGAAAAAUCUUGGGUCAAGUUGCCGUACCACCGGGUAUGCUCGACCGUUCUCACAUGGUUAUGAAAACCUGUAUAAUUUUAUCUCACCUAACCUGAUUGAUCUCAUAUGUGUUUGAGUUGCUCUGUACGAAAAACCUUAUCGGACAAUCCCUCAGGCGUAGGGGUUGGGGUUAUGCAAUGCCAUUACAUAGACCAAUAAUUUGAUUUGAUCUUUGAUGAUACAGACCACUCUAGAAUAUACAUUGGAUACAGUUCUCAGAAAUGCAUCUAUGAAGGACAAAACAAUUAUACUAACUACCCUAAAUGAUGCAUGGGCUGAACCCAAUUCAAUAUUCGAUCUCUUUUUAGAGAGUUUCGAGAUUGGAAGUAACACAAAAUGGUUGCUUAAGCAUUUGGUAGUCAUAUGCUUGGACAGAAAAGCAUAUGCCCGUUGCUUGGCGUCACACCCUCAUUGCUACCAACUCUACACUCAAGGUGCCAACUUCACCAGCGAGGCUACUUUUAUGUCUUCCGAGUACCUGGACAUGAUGUGGAGACGAAUCCGACUUUUGUCUUCUAUUCUCGACAGCGGUUACAACUUUGUCUUUACGGUAAUUCCCUUAAUCCAAUAUUCCUAAUUUUCCAUUGUCCUUCACUACUAUUCUACCUAUAUAUGUAUCCAACUUUUACUUAACUUUUUUUUUUCUUUCCAAUAUUGGAUGCACAGGAUACUGAUAUAAUGUGGCUAAGAGAUCCAUUCCCACAAUUCUACUCAAAUGCAGAUUUUCAAAUUGCAUGUGACUUCUUCAACGGUGAUUCUUACAGCGUAAAUAAUUUUCCCAAUGGAGGGUUUACCUAUGUAAAAUCAAACCACCGCACGAUUAAAUUUUAUAAGUUUUGGUACUUCUCCAGAAAGGCGUAUCCAAAGAAGCAUGACCAAGACGUUCUCAACAAGAUCAAAUUUGAUCGCUUCCUCACCCAAAUUGGAUUGAAAAUGAGGUUCUUGGAUACACUAUACUUUGGUGGGUUCUGCCAGGCUAGUAAGGACUUCAACCAAGUAUGCACAAUGCAUGCCAAUUGUUGUGUUGGUCUCGAAAACAAAGUCAAUGAUCUUAAAAUUUUGCUACAAGUUUGGAGAAAGUACAUGUCCUUACCUCCUAAUACAACUGCCAAGCCACAACUUUCAUGGACCGUUCCACAAAAUUGCAGGUAUAUAUAAUAUAUUAUCGAUCAUAUUGAGUUGGGACUUGUUCUUAUUUUAUUUGUCUAGGUGAUUUUCACUAUUUUUUAGUUUUUUAUACAUUCUUAUUUAAUCUGAUUAUUAGUUUCGUUUGAUUUAUUCAAUCUGAUGACCAUAAAUAAAGAGAGUGUAUGAGAAAUUAGAAAAAGUGUGUGAAAAUUACUUUCCCCUUAUUUAAAAUUGUUUGACUUUUUGAAUUGUUAUUUUUUGGGAAGCUUUACCUAUGUAGACAAAAACACAAGAUAAAUUUCAUAAAAUUUCGCUAAUUUUGAAUCAUUUUAAAGAAAGACGAAUGUUCAAAUCCCAACAAACCUAAUAAAAGAAAAAAAGCAAACUAUAAUUUAAAAUUUCAGUCUUGUUUGUUACCUCACCAAGCUAAAACUACAAACUGAAAUCAUCUAUAAAAACUUCAAAUUGGUUUUGAAUGUAUGUGUAGUUGUCUCUAUUUCUUUUGUUUGGGUAAAUACGACUGGUCAUCGUAUGUUGAGUUUUUUAUCCAAAACAUUUUCUAGAACUUGUUCCGCAUUGGUGCAGCAGUCGCAUCGUAUGUGGGUUCCCGGCCGUCUGAUGGGUCCCGCCGAUGAUGAAAUUGAGGGAAAUAAAUUUUUACUAUUCUUAAACAUUUUCUUCUAGAUUUACGUGGUUUGACUUUUUUUUUAUAUUUGUUUCUUCUAGAAGUAUACGAUUUGUCGUUUAAAAUAUUGAACCUUUUUUCUUCGACUUUGUUAUUGGCUUGAAGCACUUCCUUCCAACGCCUUGGAAAGCACUCGUGACAGGAGGAGAAGGGAAAGGAAAUUGCACAAAAUUCAUCGCAAUUGGUAAAUCGUAUAUGUAUAUGUGUACAUAUAUAUGUAUUUAAUUAAAUGAUGACUUUGGAUGCAGUUCUUAUUUAUCAACGUUCUUUAAUUGAAACUUUGUUAAUUUUUAGUUUUUGAUUGGAGUCCCUGAAAUGAAUACAAUAUUGCAUUUCUAUGUAAGUUAUUAUAAUUUUAAAUUAAAUUUGAUAUUUGUAAUUACUUAUAUUAAUGAGAUUUUAAAUAAAAUCCAUGAUUUGAUGGGUCGAAAAUAUUAAAAAAUAAAUUAUACUUAUAUAAAAAUGUAUAAUUUAUCUUAAUGACAUUGUAACAUCCCACAUCGCCCAGGAGAGUAAUCCUUAAAUGUAUAUUCGCAUCCCUACCUAGCACGAGGUCUUUUGGGAGCUCACUGGCUUCGGGUUCCGUAGGAACUUCGAAGUUAAGCGAAAAUGAGGCCAGAGCACUCUCAGGAUGUGUGACCCACUGGAAAGUUGCUCGUGAGUUCCCAAAAACAAAACCGGGAGGGAACGGUAAGUCCAAAGCUAACAAUAUCGUGCUACGGUGGUGGAACGGGCCCGGGAUACGAUGGACCCGGGUCGAGAUGUGACAAAUGGUAUCAAAGCCAAUCCCUGGCCGGAAGUGUGCCGACGAGGACAUCGGGGACCUAAGGGGGGUGGAUUGUAACAUUCCACAUCGCCCAGGGAGUAAUCCUUAAAUGUAUAUUUUCAUCCCUACCUAGCACGAGGCUUUUUGGGAGCUCACUAGCUUCGAGUUUCGUAGGAACUCCGAAGUUAAGUGAGAAUGAGGCCAGAGCACUCCCAGGAUGGGUGACCCACUGAGAAAUUGCUCGUGAGUUCCAAAAAACAAAACCGUGAGGGAAUGGUAAGCCCAAAGCGGACAAUAUCGUGCUAUGGUGGUGGAACGGGCCCGAGAUGUGGUGGCCCCAGGCCGGGAUGUGACAGACAUGAUUUGUCAUUAAGAUAUAUUAUAUUUAAAUAAAACUCAUUAUUUGCCAUUACUUAUAUUAAUGACAUUUUACAUAUAAAAAAUGGUAAUUUUUAUGCUAUACAAUUUACAUACAAAAAGUUGAUACAUUUUAUACAAAACAGGUGGUAUGUUUUAGAUGAAAAAAUUGGUACAUAUUAAUAUAUUAUAUACAAAAUAAUGGGUACAUUUUAGAGUAAAAAUAUAAAUACAUCUUACAUUAAAAAAUGGAUACAUUUUACAUAAAAAAUGGAACUUACAAAAACAAAAUUGGUAUAUUUUACAUAUAACAAAGUGGAACAUUUUUAAAGACAAAUGAGGACAUUAUCAAUAAAUUAUUGGUACAAAAAAAAUGUUAAAAAAAUGUGUAAAAAUAAAAGUUUGAAAAAUAUGGACACAAAAAGAAAUUAAUAUAUGGGUACAAACUAUAACUGAAAAGAAAAUUGGUACAAUUUAAAAAAAAGGGUUGCAAAUUAAAUUGGGUACAAACUAAACAUAAAAAUAUAUGAUACAAAAUUUAGCCAUAAGUAUAUAUAUAUAUACAAUAUCAAAUGUAACGUUUCUAACACUAAAUGAAUAUAUUUAGAAAUAAAAUUUAAUUAUUUUGCAUGUAAAAUAUUUAAUUAUGGAAACAAUUAAUGAUGUUUAUUAAAACCAAGGGACUUUGAUCAAAGGUUAAAAAUGAAUAAGAUUUUAAUCAAUGGAGUUGAAAAAAUAUGGAUAUAAACCUAAUUUCUCCUUAAUUAAAUUGGCCUCCAUACAUAUCUAACAUGUAUACAAGAUUAGCUGGAAAACACAUGUACAAUAUUGCAUUGUUUAUGACUUUUCCAAAUUGAAAAAUGAUUUAAGAAGAAUGGAUCUGACGUUUUGUAUUUUAUGUUGUUAUUUCAGGUAGGGGGCGAUGGAAAUGGUACCUUGGUGAUCAAUUAUCAUGUCAUCUUAAUAUAAAAUUGUUCAAUACAAAACUGACUCAUUUGCCCUUUGCACUCCUCUUUCAUUUUCUUACCUUUUUAUUAUUAUUAUUAUUAUUACUAUUCAUUUUUUUGUCAGGGUUUUUAUUUUUAAUUUUGUGGGUAGAGGAAACAAUGAAAUGUAGAGAAAAGAAUUUUACAAAAAAAAAAAAAAAAAGCUUUUUAGUCAAAAUUGUCUCUGAGAUUUGCAUAACACAUCACUUUGGUCCCUGAAAUUGUCCACCAUCUAUUAUUUUGGUCAUUCCGUUAAAAACUCUGUUAAGUGUCCCGAAGCUCUUGACUGGAAGUUUGGGCAAUUUUCAAAAUUUCGUAAUUCAAUCGUUUCUUACCCAAAUUCGACCCAUAAUAUAUCUAAAUGAAGAUAGGAAAGUGUAGAACACGAUUAUACCUAUUUUGAAGCCCAAUGGUUGCCGGAGAUGGCCGAAAAAUAGCCUAAAAGGUGACUGGUCCGCGGAAAAUUUGAAAAACUCGCCGGAAACUAGGUAAACUUUAAACGUUCAUAACUUCUUCAAUACUCAAUGAAAUCGAAUGAUUCGAAAAUGAAAAUCAUACUUCUCAACGGGAAAAAGAGAAUGGUACCUUUCUAGACAGCUAAUUCAUCGUUGUUUGGCCAAAAAAGUCUCGAAAGUGGUUGUCUUGGUCUCGAAUUGGCCACUUUCGAGCCGUUUUUCUACCAAACUACGGCGAGUUAGCCAUCAAGAAAGGUACCAUUCUCUUUGUCUCGUCUAGAAGUAUGAUUUUCGUUUUUUAAUCACUCGAUUUCGUUGAGUAUUGAAGAAGUUAUGAACGUUUAAAGUUUACCCAGUUUCCGGCUAGUUUUUCAGUUUUUCCCCAGAUUAGUCACCUUUUAGGCUAUUUUCCGGCCAUCUCCGGCAACCAUUGUGCUUCCAAAUAGGUAUAAUCUUGUUCUACACUUUCCUAUCUUCAUUUUGAUAUAUUAUAGGUUGAAUUUGAUAAGAAACGAUUGAGUUACGAAGCUUUGAAAAUUGUAUAAACUUCCAGCCAAGAGCUCAGAAACACUUAACGGAGUUUUUAAUGAAAUGACCAAAAUAAUGGAUGGUGGAUAAUCUCAGGGACCAUUUCUAUUGAUUUUCAAUCUCAGUGACUAAAGUGAUGUGUUAUGCAAAUCUCAGGAAUUAUUUUAGUUAAAAAACCAAAAAAAAUAUGUAGAGAAAAGGAUUACAUCACACAUCCCUGUUUAUAGUACUUGUUUUAUACAAGGGUCAUGAUUUCCAGUUGUACAACAAAAUCAUAACGAUACGCAACUUCCUUCCUCCCAUAUGGCCAUGCAUGAACACCAAAGGCCACACAAGUACACAUAUCAUCUUACAUUAUCAAAAAGGAAAAGUAAAAAAACGAUGUUUGAUAACCAUUUAGUUCAAUUUUUUUUAUAGUUUUUUUUUAAUUACUAAUAGAGAGAAAAUAAGAGGGAUAAGGAAGAAUGGAUGAAGGAUGAUGGGUGGUGGAAAAAUCCCAAAUUUUGAUACGAUCAAGCUAAGUGACUCACGAACGUCCUCCAACCGGAAUUACUCCAAAAUUCGUCCAUUUGGUCUUGUUUUGCUCCAAAGAAAGUCGAAAGUCCUAUAUUGAAAAUACAAUUUAAAGUAUCAAAAUUCUUUCAAAGUAUUAACCAAAAUAUACUAAAAAUAGGGUAAAAUAUAUAAUAUAAAAUAUACUCAUCAAUAGGAGAGACGUAGAAGAUAUUUACAACAAAAAGCACACAAAAUGAAAAUUACAAAUUAUUUAGAGCCCGUCUGGUAACUAUUUGAACUAAGAAAUUGGGACUUGCGUAAUGCUAUUGCCUGCUCCAUCUUGUAACCUGCAACUUGAAAUGUAAAAAAUAAUAUCCCUAUAUAUCCGAAAGUCCAAUGCCCGAGUUGUCUACGGAUUCAAUCUCGGACUUUGACGCUGUACUAAUACUAUUUUAGAGUAGAGGCCAUUAUAUUAAUACUAUUGUGCGUAAUGACUAGUCUAGUUAGCCUUCCUGCUAUUCGCAGCAAGCUUACACAUGAUUCUUGAUUUUAGAAAAAAUCCAUAUAAAUUAAAUACUACACUUAUAUAUAUAUAUAUAUGUAUGUAUGUAUGUAUAUAUAUGUAUAUGUAUAUAUAUAGGUAAGGGACCAAGUCUAACGCAGUUUGGCAUAUCUAUUACCAACCCAGUUAUCCAAUAGAUGAAGAAGUUAAUAAGUUUGAAGAAGCAUCAAGAAUGAGAAACUGUCGCCAGUUUGGCAUAUAUAUAUAUAGGAAGAUGACUAAUGUACGGACGACGCUGGUGUUUAUGGCGGCAGCAGCUGUCGCCGGUUGCUUUAUCGCCUACAAUUUUGUGUAUCCUCCUGGAUUUCUUUAUGAUGGCUUGGCACCACGCCUCCCCUCCUGCAGAAACACAAUCCCUCCACCUCAGCAGGCGAGUACACUAGUCCUCUUAUUCAUUACUUAUCUCUCACUAAUUAAUCCCUUUUGCUUUCUACUCCACAAAUCAACUUAUGGGUUCAUUAGACGGAUGUUAUUGCAAUUUUUAUUUCCUAGUUGUGUCAGUAAACUUUAUUAAUACCUAUAAUGAUGAAAUCUUAAAUUUGAUCUAGUUUCUUUCGGUUUUUUUUCAAGCAUUUAAAAUACUAUGAUCUAAUGUUAUUUAUUUUCACUUGUAAAUGAGAGAUCUAAAGUACGAAUCUAGUAGAUGACGAAUUUGAUACCAAAAUGGUUAAUUAUAUGAUUUAACCGAACUCUCAAUCCGUGUAAAAUGUAUCAUUUUACUAAAAAAACAAAAAUUCAAUUCGUAGGUACAUUAUGCUUUAGUAAUUGUUUAGUCAACACACAGUUCAAAAUUUCAUUUUUAUAGACUAUACGUACAUAUAUAUGUUCUUUUUUUAUUUAUUAAAUAUAUAAAUAUAUUCCUUAUGAAAAAUAAAAUAAAAAUGUAUUUCAAAUUGGUAUUUUAAUCUUCAUGCAAGUGGCUCUUUAUCACAAUGGUAGAAAGGUGUUGAAUUUUUUCAUAACGACAUGAGUUCAAAUUUCGUUGGUGGCUAAUCUAACAUAUAAUUUAACAAAAUCUACCGUUUGACAAAAAAAAAUCUUCAUAAAAAUAAUUUGUCUAUAUUUUUUUUAACCAAGUGACAUAUGACAUCCUUUAUUUUCAAAGAGAGAGGAUCCUCCAAUCACAUUUGUUCAUCGAACAUCAUGCGGUCAGUUUUCGUCAUGUACUGUUUAUAUUCAAUUUUAAAUUAAAAAAUAAUUUCUAACAUCUUAAUGUACGAUGAAUGGAUGUGAUUUGAGAAUCACCGAGAUCCUUACAAACAGGAUCUUGCGAGGAUCCUCACUCAUUUUCAAAUAGAUACAUAAAUUCCCUAUAUCUAUGUGAAAUAUAGGUAAAUUAAAUAUUGAACUAAAUGACAUAUUUUAUGUUGUAGGUAAAUUAUUUUACAUAUAUUAUUACAUACAUUAGGCACAUUUUAUUGUUAUUAUAUAUGUGUGGUAAAAUAAUUUACCUUUAGUUCUGAAAAAAUGCAGGGCAACCAACUGGAGGAUAAUAUGGAUCCAUUGGAUAAAAUUCUGAAAAAUGCAUGCAUGAAGAACAAAACAGUUAUAAUAACUACGUUAAAUGAUGCAUGGGCAGAACCCAAUUCAAUAUUUGAUCUCUUUCUUGAAAGCUUUAACAUCGGAAGUAACACGAAAUGGCUGCUCAAGCAUUUGCUAGUCAUCUGCGUGGACCAAACAGCAUAUGCUCGUUGUUUAGUGAUACACCCUCAUUGUUACCUACUUUAUACUCAAGGUGCCAACUUUACCGGCGAGGUAUUUUAUCUAACCCCCGAUUACUUACAAAUGAUGUGGAGAAGAACCCAGAUUUUGUCUUCCAUUCUCGACAAAGGCUACAACUUUAUCUUUACGGUAUUUUUCUUAGUCCUUAAUUUCUUCCAAUUUUUGCUUACUUUUCCAUGCAUGAACUAUUUAGUGAAAUUAAUGAACAGGAUACCGAUAUAAUGUGGCUUCGAGAUCCAUUCCCACAAUUCUAUCCCGAUGCAGAUUUUCAAAUUGCAGCUGAUAAAUUCAUGGGUGAUUCUUAUAGUUUUAAAAAUGCUCCCAAUUGUGGAUUUGUCAAUGUAAAAUCCAAUGAUCGGACUAUUGGGUUUUACAAAUUUUGGUACCUCUCCAAAUACACGUAUCCAAAAACGAAUGAACAAGAAGUGCUUAAUAGGAUUAAAUUUGAUCCUUUCAUUGGCAAGAUUGGAUUGAAAGUGAGAUUCUUGGAUACAAAAUACUUUGGUGGAUUCUGUGAGCCAAGUGAGGACCUUAACCAAGUUUGCACAAUGCAUGCUAAUUGUUGUAUUGGUCUUGAAAACAAAGUGAACGAUCUUAGAGCUUUGCUUCAAGUUUGGAAAAAAUACAUGUCAUCGCCUCAUAAUGCUACUGGCACAUCACAAGCUGUGUGGACCGUCCCACAAAAUUGCAGGUAAAUUUUUUAUCCAUCGGUUAUGAAUCUUCUGUUAGCCCAUUUCUCAUGCCAACAGUUUUUAUAUCUUUUUUAGUAUAUUGACCCCUUUGAGUAUCUGAUUGACUUGAAGCACUUCCUUCCAACGCCGUUGGAAGCAUAGUAACCAGACUAGGGAGUGAAACUAUAAAAAGAUUAUUCCAAUCUGUGGAGCUUUCUAAACAUUUAAUUGCAGGUAAAUCUUAUACAAUGUUACGUUGAUGACCAAAUAUUUUUGAAACUUGAUACGAAAAUCAUCCCAUGCAUGCAUGAAUCUAACGCUUAUAGUUCUACUUUUUCAUGUAUAUACUUCAGGUAGAAGAAAAAGAGGCUUAAAUUCAACGAUGAAAAUUCCUCCCUGGCAAUCAAAUAUAUUUCAUCUUGCUCGUGAAAUACUAUUACAAAACUUAUAUCUUGCUCGUUACAUUAUUACAAAACUUAUUUUGCAACUGUUUUGCUUUUUCCAAGUUAUCUAAAGUGAAUUAGUGAAAGGAAUAUGCCACCAUUAAUUUAUGGAUUACCUUUGCGUAAUGUCUAUUUCAACUUCAAAUAGUAUGCAACUUUGAAAUGUACAAAUCAAAAGGGAUGGAUACCUAAUGUAGAAGUCCAAUUUUUUCACAAAUAUUAUCCACCAGAAGCGUAGUUUAGAUUAAUAAAAUGAAAUAGAUUAGUAACACCGAUGCGGUACAAUUUUCACACUUUUUUUCCUCACACUUUAUACUGAGAGAAAUUCUUAAAUAGGUGGAGUUAAACUAUGACAAUUCUUAAACGGAUGAGAUCACAGGAAUGUAGAAAUCCACCGUCCUAGAGUUGUUGGCGAUGUUCUGUCAACCAAUCAAAAUUCUAUAUGAGAUAAUGGACCUUUGAAAAUUUAUGAAGAAAGUUAAGAGUAAACAUUUUUCUAGCAUGAUUAAAAACAUUGAUUGUAUGCCUUGGCAAUAGAUAAUUUGUCAAAGUCUUGGCAAGAAGAUUACGAAAAUAAAAAUAGGUACAAAAUCUAUCAUUUUGAAGGCGGUGGCUUAAUUUGAUACAAAAAAACUAUAUUAAGUUGUUUUCACUUUUAAGAUUUUGUUUUCAAUAAUCAUUUCUUUUCCCUUUCCCGCUCUUCCAUCCCCAUUUUUCAUCCAUUCUUCUUCUUUCCUUUAUAUACUCUUCUAUCUGAAGCACAAACCUUGAAACCCAAACCUAAAAAAAAUUGACACUACGAAAAUGGGACUUUCGUAAUGUCUACUUCGACUUCGAACCUGCAACUUGAAAUGUACAAAUUAGAGUUUCCUAUCCGAAAAUUCAAUGCCACAAUUGUCUGCCAAUCAAAUCUCGCAGUUUCGACGCAACCCACUAAAAACAAAAUUGCUGCUGCAGUCGGUUCUGACCUAACCAAACGGUAAAUGACUACUCUAGUUAGCUUAGGCCAUCUCCAACCGAUCCGGUCAGAGGGUCAUAGGGCUAAAAAUAGUCUGAAAUGACAUGAAAACUGUCUCCAAUCGAGGGCUAGGCCAAAGGGUCUGUGGGCCCCACCGGGCCAAAAAUACCAAAUCAGGCAAAUCGGCUGGCCCAAAUGCCAGCCAGCCAACCUCGGGUCAUUUGAAUUAAUUUUUUUUUUCCGGAUAAAUUUUUUUAAAAAAGCAAUAAAAAAUUCCAAAUUUUUUCCUAUAAAUACCUAAGCUAUUCCUACAUCAUUUCUCACAUAAUUUUCAUCAUUCCAUACUAUCUUACUUCAUUCUAUUUCAAUUUUUUACAUUCUAUUCUCUUACCACUUCCAAUAAUCUUUCCUUCAAUUUUUUCAAUAAUUUUCAAAUGACCACAUCUGCAAUGAAAGGUGGGGCUUGGACCGAAAAAGAAGAUGAAGCUCUUUGCAUGACUUAUAGAUGGGUCUCGGAAGAUAGUGUGAGGGGGAGUUCUCGAACAAGUGAAGGUGUUUGGACUCGUACAUUCAAAAAAUACUAUGAGUUCUACGAAGGCACCACUCCACCGAAUUCCCGAAACUACGAGAGUUGUUAUUUAAGAUGGAAGAAACAUUUUCAUCCAAGUUUGAAUAAAUGGCAUCAAGCAGUGUUAAAGGCCGCAAGCAGACAUGAAAGCGGAGCCAAUUACUACAACGAAGUAAGCGUUUUCACAACUUAUUUUAAAUAUUUAAUUAUAUUACAUUUAAUUUCAUAAAUUAAUUUCCUUUAAUUUUUGUAAUUAUAUUUUCUAAGUACACCAAGCGGAGGAUUUUUAUAUGGAGGACAACUCUAAACCUUUUAGUCAUCACGGUUGUUGGGAAAUUUGUAAUGGGUGGGUGUUAUUUGAAGAUCCACCUCAACAAAGAAUUGGUCCUAUGCCGGUGUUCGAAAAUGCAUCCUCAAAUGCAGAUGGGGAUAAAGAUGGAUCUCCUACCAUUCAAGAAAUAAGGGUUGAAAAUCCGUCUCUGGGUGAAGGUUCCAUACCUAGGGCUAGGGGAUGAAACAAGGCUCGAAAAUUGAAGGAAAAUGGCAAGGCAAAUGAUGAUUACCCUUUCAACAGGAAAUGGCGGUCUCAUUGCGAUUAAUGGCAAAGCAAAAUGUCAUUGCCGCAGAAGAUGGGAACCGUAGGCACGAAGAACGAGCCAAACAAAUACAAGAAGAGAUGGAUGAUAGGAAUAUGCAAAUGAACACUUCGGAUUACACUCUAAUGAGUAAGGCUUAUUUUGAUAGAAAAAAGGGAAAUUAUGGCCCGACGGGAGUUGUUUACAUCCUACUAUACUCCUACAAUGGCAGAUGAUGAUGAUGAUGAUGAUGAUUAUAGUCUUUAAAUUUAAGUUGUUGUAGUCUUUAAUAUUUAAGUUGUAAUAUUUAAAUUAAAAUAAUAAAUUAUGUUUAGCCUAUGAUCCUUUGGCCCCCUCGGUUGGAGAUAAUUUUUUGUCACAGGGCUAUGUUUGGCCUAUGACCCUUUGGCCCCCUUGGUUGGAGAUGGUAAGAAAUAUGACAUAGUAUUGUUCAUUAAAAUAUUAAUUUUUUUUUUAGGGCUAUAGGGCUAAAGGAAGCCCUCUGACCCUCCUUAGGUUGGUGAUAGCCUUAGUUUAGCUAGCUAGCUGUGAAAAGCAGGAAAGCCAAGAUGUGGUGUGUGUGUGUGUGUGUGUGUGUUUGCCAAAUUGCAACCCAAUUAUCCAAGAGAAAACAAGAAGUGAAUUUGUAAUUGAAAAAGCAUCAAGAAUGAGGAACUCGGUGGUUUUCGAUGUUACUGAGAAGAGGAUUAAUAUGUGGACGACACUGGUUUUUAUGGCUGCCGCAGCUGUUACCGGUUGCUUUAUUGGCUACAAUUUUGUGUAUCCUCCUGGAUCUCGUUAUGAUGCCUUGGCAGUGACACCACACCUCCCCUCCUGCAGAACCACAACCCCUCCCUCUCAGCAGGCGAGUACAGUAGUCCGCUUAAUUAAUUACUAAUUAGUUCUCUCUCACGGAUUAACCCAUUUUACUUUCUACUCUACAAACACAAAUAAAUUGAUUACUUUAGUACCUAAGUACGUACGUACACAUAACACAUGCAUGCAUGGUUACCGGUGCACGCAGGGCAAGCAGCUGGAGGAGAAGGAUCCUUUGGAUAAAGUUCUGAAAAAUGCAUGCAUGAAGGACAAAGCUAUUAUAACAUUUGAGUUGAAUGGUGCAUGCAUGGGAAGAACCCAAUUCAAUAUUAGAACUAUUUCUAGAGAGUUUCGAGAUCGGAAGUAAAACGAAAUGGCUGCUCAUACAUUUUGUAGUCAUCUGCUUGGACGAAAAAGCAUAUGCUCGUUGCCUAGCGUUGCUCCCUCAUUGUUAUCAACUCAAAACUCAAGGUGCCAACUUUACCCACGAGGCAGUUUUUACGUCUUCAAACUACUUACAGAUAACGUGGGGAAAAGUCCAGUCUAUAUCUCUUAUUCUCGAGAAAGGCUAUAGCUUUGUCAUUACGGUAAGAGUAAAUUGUAGUAAUAGUCUCUCAACUAAAAAUUCAUUACCAUUGGUCCCUCAUUUUAUCAAAACGUGCGGCUAUGGUCCCUCAACUAAAAAUCAAUUAUCAAUAGUCCCUCAACUUUAAUCCAAUUAGAGAAAUUGUCCCUCAACUUUAACCCAAUUAGAGAAAUGAUCCCUUAACUUUAACCCAAUUGUAGCAAUGGUCCUUCCAAAAUAACUCAUUUUGACAAAAUUCCAACAAAGUUAACGACAAUGACCAUAGCUACACGUUUUGAUGAGUUAAUGGACCAAUAGUAAUAGAUUUUUAGUUGAAUGACCAUUGCUACAAUGUACUCUUACAGUAAUUCCUAUUCAAUUUUUGCUUACUUUCCCAAAACUUACAAUAUCAAGAAAGGAAAAAAAAAAGUUAGCUGCCAAUUUAUUUUAACUGUUGUUGAUUUUGUUGCAUGCAUGUGAUAUUGGAAUGUACAGGAUAAUGAUAUAAUGUGGCUUCGAAAUCCAUUCUCACAAUUCAAUCCAGAGAUACCGAUCUUCAAAUUUCUUGUGAUAACUUCACAGGUGAUUCUUACAGUGAGAAAAUUUCACCCAACACUGGAUUUUCCUAUGCAAAAUCCAAUGAUCGGACUAUUCUAUUUUAUAAGUUUUGGUACUUUUCCAGAAACACGUAUCCAAGAAAACACGAACAAGAUGUACAAAAUGGGAUUAAAUCUGAUCCCUUUGUUGCUGAGAUUGGACUGAAAAUGAGGUUUUUUGAUACACUAUACUUUGGUGGCUUUUGUCAACCCAGUAAGAAUUUUAAUCAAGUUUGCACGAUGCAUGCUAAUUGUUGUGUUGGUCUCGAUAACAAAGUCAAUGAUCUUAAAUUUUGCUGCAAGUAUGGAGAAAUUACAUGUCAAUUCCUCGCAUGGAGAAAUUACAUGUCAUCGCCUCGCAAAACCAAUGAUACAUUACAUGUUUUAUGGACCGUCCCACAAAAUUGCAGGUAUAUAUUUAUCAAUUGCUUGUAAGUCUUCUUUCAUUUAAUUUUUAAGCAUUCGCUUUUUUGUUUUGUUCUUUACACAAGCAAGGUGGAUUCGAACUUUAUAACUCGGGUUUAAGAAAUGAUAUUCUUAACCAACAAAUCAAUAAACCCCUUGCUAAGCAUACGGAAUAUUUUUUUUAAAUGUAGCUUCUGGUCAUAUGUUAAACCCUAUUUCUUAUGCAAACAUUUCGCAUGUCGCCCUUAACAGGUUUUUUUUCCUUCCUAUUUCUUUUGGAACUUUAUAUACGGUCUGUUGUUUUGUAUUGACCCCUUUGACCUUCUAAUUGAUUGAAGCACUUCUUUCCAACGCCUUUGGAAGCAUUAGUGAUCACUGGAGAAGGGAUGCAACAUCUGAUCACAUUGUAUAUCUUAUAACGUAUUCAAGAUCAGUGCGUAAACACUUUUACAAUGUUACAUUGCUUUAUUUAAUCAUAACGGUUUAAAAUGAAGUUUAUUUCUAAAGGAUCAUUAGAUAACCAUUUCGUUUUUCAGUUUUCAGUUUUUGUAACUUACGAAAUAGAUGAUGAUGAUGAUGAACAUGAACUAGUAUUUGAAAGUUAAGUUGAAAACCAUGGAUCUGAUUAUGACGUUUUCUACUUGUUACUCAAGGUAUUAAAUAUCGGUAAUAUCGGAAAUAUCGGUAGUCCGAAAAUACGGAAAUAUCGACGGAAAUAUCGAUAAAAUAUCGAUAUCGAUAAAAAUUACAUGGAAACCACGGAAAUUGUAAGAAAAACUUGGAAAUUUUUAUUGAAACUUUUGCAGGAUGUUUAUUUAGUCAAUUAUCUAUUAGUUUAUCACAAAAAAUUGGAAGGAAAUGCAUUGCAUGAUGGAUUUAACAUUAUCAAGUUGAUUAUAUAGCGAGCUGACAAACAUUGUGAGUGUAGAAAAUAUGUAGUAAUUAAUCAUUUAUAUAUGUAGUAAUUAAUGAAAGAAGUUUAAACACACCAUAAUCAUUUAUAUAUAAUGAAUUAGUACAAUAUUUUACACUUUAUAUAUUGCAUGGUAAGAUACAUGAGUGACUUAUUCUUAUAACGGGUACAUAUCAAUUUUUUUUUAUAAAAAUUAAUGGGUACAAACUUAUUCUUAUUUUAUUUUUUAUAUAUUUGAAAUGUUUGAAUUGAAAAUUAAUUAGGAGUUUAAUAAGGAUGUGAGUAUUAAAACUCUAAAAUAAAUUACUAAUUAUUGUUCAUAUGUGCUAGUUUGGUUUCCCUCGUUAGCCCACAAAUAAAUCGAAUGAUAAAAUGUAAAAAGAAUAUCCAACCAAUCUAAAAUUUAAAAAUACAUUAAGUCAUAUAACUUAAGAUAUUUUGAAUGGUUAUAUUUAACUUUUUAAAAUUAAAAGUAAAAAUCAUGGUUGGGUGGGUGGUUGAAAUUGAAACUUUGAAAAGGUGCAGCAUGCUUCCCCAUUUCAGCACCACGUGUGUGUGUGACCUCCCCUCCAUCCCGAUUCCCCAUCCUUCACAUCUAUCUUCUCUCUCAGUCCUCUCUUUCUCUCCACUUUCCCGGGCUCUCCCUUUCUCUGCUUCUCUCCCCUCAGUCUCUUCUUCUCUGCAAAACACGCACAGACCACACACGCACACACCACACACGCAGUCUCUCCUUCUCUCCCUCAGUCUCUCCGUCUCGUCGUCCCAUCCUUCUCCCUCAGCCUCGAUCUCGAUCCUUCUCUCCCUCAGUCUCUCCGUCCGUCUAUCCUUCUCCCUCAGCCUCGAUCUCGAUCCUUCUCCCUCAGUCUCUCCGUCCAUCCUUCUCCCCUCAGUCUCUCCAUCCUUCUUCUUCUCCCUCAGUCGUCUCUGGUGGUGCGCCGCUGAGCAAGGAGUUGGCCCAGUCAUCGAUAUUUCAGGUGAGAUUCCAUUGAAAACCCUAAGCCCUAAAACCGAUAUCACAUAUGUUGAAUCGUUGAUGCAUGCGUGAAAUUUUGGAGUAUAUAUUGUGAAAAUUUAAGUUAAAAAUUCGUGUUUUUGCAAGGUUUUUGGGACGAAAUGGGCUCGGGAACAGGCACACCAUCUCCGGCGUUCUUCUCCGGCGUCCGAUAUCGGAAUCCGAUUGCACCGUUCAACGAAAUAUCGCGAUAUUUCCAAAAUAUCGCGAUAUUAUCGAUAAUAUCGCGAUAUUUGGACGAAAACUACACGGAAACCAGUUUAAAUAUCCAUUACCCGAAAAAUCGAUAUUAUCGGCGAUAUUUCGCCGAUAAUAUCGAUAUUUAAAUCCAUGUUGUUACUUGAUGUAGAAGAAAAUGAGCACGAAGUUCAAUGAUGAAAAUGGCACCUCGGUCAGGGAAUCAAAUAUGUCAUCUUCCUCACAAAGCAGGAUUACAAAACUUAUUUUGUAGCUGUUUAUUUUUUAUUUUAUUUAUAUGAAAAUGAAAUACAAAGAAAGCCAGAUGUGCAAGUAUAUGUAAAGUGUAAUUAGUAUGUAAUAUUGUGUAUUUGUGAUACUUGUACAAUUUCCUGGUGCCUAGUUCAACUUCAGACCAACCAGUUUGAAAUGUAGAAAUCAAAAGAGCUCGAGAAUACAUAAUGCCCGUACAAUUGUGGUUUGCCCACGUAUAGGCUGGAAUGCCUGGAUCCGAUCCGUUGGAUUUGUGAUGGGCCGCCUCGGUUGUAUUAUUUUUGGGCCGGGCCUCGUGCGACAGAUUGAGGAGGGAAAAUAACUAUAAUCAGCAUGUGACAUGCACGUGUAUCCCAAAAAAAAGCUGUACUACAGUUGCAGGUGGAUGAUAGAUUUUUCAGUGUAACCAAGAGAUGAUACAUCAUGUAUCAUGUGUUCCUGUAUAAAUGAUAAGUUAUGUGUGUUAAAUGAUUAAUAACUUAAAAAUUAAAAAAUUUCAUCACUUGUAUAAAAACACGUGGUGUACCAUUCGUAUUCUCGUCGUAACUAAAAAUAUCUUCAGGGGGAGGAGAAGGCGGUGGUGGAAUUUUGCAUUGGGGAUUGCGUUCUGAAGAAUUUGAGAGAGGAAGAGUAGCCGAAGACAGAACCAAAUCAAAAUUUAUAAGGGUUAGGGGGGAAUAUGUCGGAUCCGCUCGAGAGACGAAAGGAGGCAGAUUGACCUUCAAAGGAGGCACCAGGCAGUGCUGGGGCGGUGGGGCCUCAGGAGUUCAUGUUAAUGUGGUUUCCCAGCUGCAUGCGGAGAUCUUGGCGGCAAGGCAUGCUGCGAAAAUUUUGGUGCAGAUCGUCAAUGGAGGACAAGACGUCGUGUUCGAAGGUGAUUCGAGCAUAACUAUAGCUGCUCUACAAAGGAAGGAAGAUGGUUUGUCCACCUUUGGGAGAUACUAGGAGCUUUCUCCCGGUAAUUGCGCAUAUUGAAAUGCGCCACAUUCGACGCGAAGCCAAUCAAGCAGCGCAUCGGCUUGCUCGUGCACGAAUUGGAAGACAUUGCGAUGUGUUAUGGUUUGAAGACCCUCCGGACUUGAUCUAGGACAUCCUAGUAGAAGAAAGACCCAGUUAAUUUUACUUCGAUCGUAAUAUUUGAGAUAGUUUACUAUACAUUGGUUGUGCCAUAUACUAUUACCGGAUUGAAAUUUCUAACAAGAUUUUUAUCAAGACCCAUCUAUGCACCUUAUCCUCAAUAUUGUAGGUUUUUAUUGCAACUUAAUGAAUAUCGUACUUUUUCUUAAAAAAAUUAUCUCAUAUUUUGAAAAAUAGACAUAUGUUGAGUUAUUAAUGAUAAGUGAUAAGGACAAUAUUGAGAUACACAAACAGAGUCAAAUUCUAUACUUGUCCACAUGAUGUCACCGACACUUAAUGCUAGUGACUUAGCAAAUGCAUAAUUCUCAAAAUGUUAGGUAUUUAUUAUUGUUUUUUUUUUUGGUCAAAUGAUAUAUUUGUUAAAUUAAAUGUUAGACUAGGGGGCUGAUCGGGUUCGAUCUCACACCGUAGUGUAAGGGCAACACUUCUCUCUAAUAUUGUAGUAGAUAACCACUUGCAAUGUUAGGUAUUUAUUUGAAAUGUUUUAAAAAGUUUAGAACAAUUUAAAAUUAUUCUUGUUAGGUAAUUAUUUGUACGCAACUAACACAAAUUUGUAGACCGGGCUUAACCAUGUUGUCUACAAUAAUGUAUACUCUCUCAUUUGAAUAAAAAAAUUGAAUCUGAUCUCCCCUUAGUAUAUAGCUUGUUUAGAACUGCUCUUAAAAUAACUGAAAUCACUUGUAGAAAAAAUAUUUUUGGGUUUCAAAAGCACUUAAAGUGCUUCCUGCAUUCUUGCAUGAAGCAAUGAAGUGAUUUUCUAGAAUUCAUUUGUCAUUUUACUAUGGAUUGAUUCCAAAAGCAUUUUUAUCAAAAACGUUGUUAACCAUUUUAAACGCUUUUAACCAUUUCAAAUGAGUCCAAUAUCACCGGUUUUGAAAAACAAAAAUAAAAAUAAAAAAUUAACACAAACCCCCCAAAUAUGAUCUAUUAAAGAAAGAAAUCAACUAUAGAUUGCCGCAUCAUGUAUUCUACAAAAUAUGUUCUAAAAAUAUGAUAGCUUUAGCAUUCUCUUUUGGUAAAUAGAUUAUGAAACGAGUGUUGAAGUUUAUUAAGUCAAUGAUCGAUCAAUCAAUCAUUAGAGUUUGGCCUAAGAAUAAUACAAUUGAACAAUAAUUAUUUAGGGAAAUAAAUUAUGCUUGAUUUAUGUGAUUAGCAAUGAAUGAUCCCUUUCGUAAUCAAUACAGGAAAUUAAUCCCAAAAUAAAAUUAAAAAAUCAAUGUAGGAAUCGAAGCCUCGAGGUAAGACAAGUAUAAUUAUAAUCAUACUUGAGAGAUAUUGAUAUAUAGUUGAGAGAGUGUUUUGGAGCAAUAUUGACAUAUAUUAUAUAAUAUAAUUGAGAGAAUAUAAUAAUAAUUAUACACUCAUCAUCAAGGACGGAGUUAGAAAUUUUUUUUUAUUGGGGGCGUCUUAAAACAACCAAGUAAAAUAAUGGGUUUUAGGUUAUUGAAGACCAAAUACAGUAAAAAAUCUCUAAAUUAGAAAGUUAAAUUCUAACUUGUAAUGCCACAAACAAAUGAAUGAAGUAAAUUCAUAUAAAAUACUUUGGAGUAAAAAUUUUGUAUUAAAUUAUGAUACUUCAUCAGUUGAAUCCAAUGUAUUUAUCAAAACCCCUAGUUCAAUUGAGUUUGAUUUAGGUUAGAAAACGUGGAAUAUUUGGAACCAAAAUCAAAAUUUUAAUUGUUGUUUUAAUUGUCAUGACAUUUUUGCUUUCCUCACCCAAAAAUCUGAAUGGGGGCGGAUGCCCUCCCUGGGCCUUAUGUAGCUCCGUCCAUGCUCAUCAUCAUCGAAAAUAUCCAAAAUAGGAGAAUAAGAUAUAAACUUGGUUUCCUUGAUGAAGUUGCAUGUUCAUAGGCGAACCUCAAAUAAAGAAAUGAGCUGUACUACUAACAUGAAAUAAUUCCGAAAAAAUGCGAAUAUAAAAUUAGCAUGAGAUAGUAAAAUAAGAAUGUUUACGUAAUUUUUUUGGUGUGUUAAAUAUUCUAUACUUGAAUAUGCAUCAUGGAGAAGAGAUGACAAAAUUAAUAAACAUAUAUAGCGUUGAAACGUCGGUUGCAGCCGGAUUGAAUAAAAUCAAGCAGAGAAAUAAGAAUACUCUUAAUUUUGAAAAGUCUUCUCUCCGAUUGAAUAUUGAUAAUAAUUCCCAACAUCAUCUUCAUCUCUCUUGUGAGUCAUGUUAGACUAGUUCCCAUCACCAGAAUAUACAUGUUCAGACGUUCUGGCUUGUGUCGGCAUCUUUUGACUUGGCAACUAACAAUAAAAAAUUAUAUCAAUUCCCCCAAUUAGGUUUAACAAGUUCAUUUUGAAAUUAUUUAAUGGCUUUGAUUGAUUAAUUUUGGGAAAGAAUAUUAUCAUUAAUUUUUUUUGAAAACGGUGCAAUAUUCAUUGAUAAGGUAAUAGACUACAUCCACUCAUUGAGGAUAUGAUGCAUACAAUGAAUCUCAAUAAAAAUCUGGCUAGAGAUUUCAAUCCAGUCAAUAAAACAAAAGAGUAUCCAUCACCAUAAAAGGAAUUAAUUAUACAUGACAUGAUAUAUUAAUUCCCUAGAAUUUGGAAGAGGAGAGGGCACACCAUUCUUGCCGUGGCCUGCCGACUGGCCUCACUAUCUGUCCGCUACGUGCAAUAAUUUAGUGGUUAAAAUUAAAAUUAUAUAUACAUAUUCGAUAACAAUUAGAAUUAUAUGUAAAUUUGUUCCAAGGUUGAACAUUUUAAUCUUAGUUUACUAUCCUAAAGUUUUGUGGUUUUUAACAUUUGUUACAUGAAGUUUUUUUUCAUCCAAAAGUCAUACCUCAAGUCUUAAUUUUGGGACAGUUUUGUAUAUCUGUUAAGUUUUCUAUUAGAACUUAUGUUAACUGAUGACGUGGUGCACACGUGGACAAUAACUGAGUGUCACGUGCUAAUAAUAAAUACAAAAAAAUACAAACAAACAAAAAAACCCAACCCGUCUUCUACCUCCCCCAACCCCUUCCCUUCCUUCAUCCUUUGCAACCCACACCCUCCCGCUCAGCAUUGCUCAGCCUCACUUCCGACUCCUACUCAUCUACGAUGUAAUCAAAGGAGCCGACAGAGUAGGAGUGCCGAUUGGAGGAAUUCGUCGUUGUCGUCUGGAACCCUACUCCUCCAUCGACGACGACCUCUUCGAUCGCCUCCCAGACUCCUUCCUCUUCCUUGUCUUCAACAAGAUCGGCGACGUCAAGGCCCUCGCCCGUUGCUCCAUCGUUCUCUAUGGCAGUGAACGACUCCCGAUGAUGUGGCAGUCAUUGGAUCCCACUUGUUCGACGACGGGACCCACUCGAACCUCUCGUCGCCUCUGUCCACGAGGUUCUCGUAUGUGCACAUGAAGUGAUCAAGUGGUGCUGCGCAUGACGGCGCGCUCGAAUCGUCGGCGAUGAGGACAAGUCGAUGGGAAAGGGUGUUCGGUAGGAAGAGAGAAAUGGCUUCAUUAUGGUGCAGGAGUACGGAGACGGUGUGGGUGUUGAUGUUGUUGAGGAUAGCACCGGACAUGGGCAUGGCAAAGUGGAGCUCGUACAUGACGAGGAUGUUUGGGGAAAAGGUGUACAUAGGAGAGAAAGGAUGUUUGGGGGAGAGGGAGCCCAUAAACGGGAAUUUUUUUUUAAUUUUUAAAAAUAUUUAUGUGGGCCCAUAAGACACGUAACGCUCAGUUAUUGUUCACGUGGGCUCCACGUCAUCAGUUAACAAAAGUUUUAACGGAAAAUUUAACAUAUGUAUGAAACUGUCACAAAAUUAAGACUUGAGGUAUAAUUCUGGGAUGAAAAAAACUUCAUGUACCAAAUGUUGAAAACCACGAAACUUCAUGGUAGUAAACUAAGAUUAACGCUUAAAUUAUUAUAUAUAUGUAGAGUGGUCUGCAUGGAUUAUGUGUAUAUAUAUAUAUAUAUGGGCUAACCCUAGUUAGUACUUACCUUACCCGGUGGACUAGAACAAGCUAGCUAGGGAGGUCAUCCCUUAAUUUUCAUUUUGUAUAUGAAAAAAUAUUAUUGUAUUCCUUUAUAUAUAUAUAUAUAUAUAUAUAUAUAUAUAUAUAUAUAUUGUAGAGCUUUAGAGGUUUUAAUUAAAAAUUAAGUAAAUAUUAACAGAAGGAUAAUAAGGCUCAAAGGGGAAGAAACAAUUAGCCAGGCAGGCAGGUAAUACAGGUUGACAUCUUGUACUGGUAAAAAAAAUCAGGGGUAUAAGAUUCGAGGUGGAGUUUGCCAAAUUAUAUCCAUCCGACUGCAAAACAUAUCAUAUAUUUGUUUAUAAAAAACAAAAAUUAUCAUAUAACAUUAUUUUCAACAAACGAUAUUAUCUACAUUAAAGGAGGUGAGAGAAGUGCGUUAAGUCUCACAAUAGGCUAGCAAUAAUAUAGUCUAAAUUCGUUUUGGCAAGAAUCGAACUUAAGACCUCUCGUUUACAAGUGAAGAAGAAUAUCACUAAACCGUAGUACUAAAUGACACAUCAUAUAACAUUAUUAAAAAAAUGUUUGAUAACCAUUUAGUUCGUUUUUUUAUUUUAAUGCUCAUUUUUUGUAUUAAUGAUAGAGAGUCUAUGAGAUAGAUAAAAAAGAAUUGAUGAAUGAUGAUGAAAGAGACGUAGAAAAAAUUUAUAACAAAAAGCACACAAAAUUAAAUCAGACAAAUUAAAAAUAAAAAACUAUUUAAGUUGCUAUCACUUUGAAUAUUUUGUUUUCAUUUACUCUGUUUAUCAUCACCAUUUUUCAUUAAUUCAUUUCCUCAUACACUCAUCAUACAUCUCAAGCAUAAACAGUAAAACCAAAUUGGCUUUUUAGUUAAAAUGGUCAAUGAGAUUGACAUAACUUGUCACUUUGGUUGUUGAGAUUUGAAAUUGAUAGAAGAAAUCCCUAAGUUUGUCAUCGUUUUGAUCAUUCCGUGAAAAAUCUAUGUUAAAUAAAUACUAAAAUGAUAAAAAUACCCUCAAUUUAAAAAACAAUGGGACAAAAUAAUUUGACAAUUGAGGGUAUUUUUUUCUUCUUAUUUAAGGGGAAUUUUUUAACGGAAUAACCAAAAUGAUUGAUGGUUGACAAAUUCAGAAACCAGUUUUAUCGAUUUUAAAUCACAUGAACCAAAAUGAAGAGUUAGACUAAUCUCAAUGAUCAUUUUGACUAAAAAGCCAACCAAACCUUGAAAACAAAUUGCCACCACCAAAAUGGGACUUUCGUAAUGCCUAUUUUUUUUUAACAAACGAUAUUAUCUAUAUUAAAAGUGAAGUAAUGGACUACUUCAACUUCAAACCUUCAACUUGAAAUGUAAAAAAAUAAUAAUAAUAAUAGAGUUCCUAUAUACACCCGAAAGUCCAAUGCCGCCAUUGUCUACCAACCUUGGACUUGGACUCUAUAAUACAUUACACACUAUUGUGUGUAAUGACUAGUCCAGUUAGCUUUCGAGCUUUUCGCAGCUAAAUACAAUACUUUAUAUACAUAUACAGCUAAGGGACUAAGUCUAACGCAGUUUGCCAUAUGUAUUACAACCCAAUUACCCAAGAGAAGAAAAUCUGGAUUUAUCAGUUGAAAAAGCAUCAAGAAUGAGAAACUCUGUGAUUCUUGAUAUUACUGGGAAGAGGAUUACUGCACGGACGAUACUGGUGUUUAUGGCGGCAGCAGCUGUCGCCGGUUGCUUUAUUGUCUACAAUUUUGUGUAUCCUUCUGGAUUUCGUUAUGAUGGCUUGGCAUCACCCCUCCCCUCCUGCAGAACCACAACCCCUCCACUUCAGCAGGCGAAUACCACAACUCCUCCGCUUCAGCAGGCGAAUACCACAACCCCUUCGCUUCAGCAGGCGAAUACCACAACUCCUCCGCUUCAGCAGGCAAAUACCACAACCCCUUCGCUUCAGCAGGUGAAUACCACAACCCCUUCGCUUCAGCAGGCCAGUACAGUACGUAGUCCUCUUAAUUCAUUUCUUAUCUCUCCCUAAUUAAUCCUGUUUACUUUCUACUCCGCAAAUCAGUAUAUUUAUGGGUUCUUUAGAGAUAUGCUAUUGCAAUUUUUAUUUCCUAGACAAAACUUAUCUAUAUUUAAACAUUCAAUUAAACCCCAAAAUUCAAAUCCAUUGAUAUGUAGACAAAGAAAUAACAUAUACUAUUUACAACCUAUGCCCCAAUACACCCUAAUUAUGUCAAUGCAAUUUACUAAUACCAACAGUAAUGAUGAAAUCCUAACAAUAAUGAUGAAAUGUUAAAUUUGGUCUAGUUUUUUUUUUUUUUUUUUUUUGCAAGCAUCUAAAAGUUCAACUUGUAGGUGCAUUAUACUUGAUUUAUAUGUGCUUUAGUCAAUAAUUGCUCAAAAUUUCAAUUUUUAUAAGCUACAAUUGAAACAAUAUACAUACAUAUUCUCUUUUUCAUUAAAUAUAUAAAUAUAUUUCCUUAUAAAAAAUAUAAAUAUAUUUCAGGUCAGUACGUAAAUAUUUGUAAAAAUAAUUUACAUAUAUUUUUUUCAUUUAACCAAAUGAGAUAUGACAUCCUUUAUCUUAGCAAAUGACAUCUUUAUCUUCAAGUAUGUACUUUAAUUUCAUAAAAUAAUUUACCUGUACCUACAUGUGAAAUAUUGGUAAUUAAACUGAACCGAAUGACAUCUUUUAUGUUGUAGUAAAUUAUUUUGCACAUAUUAUUACAUGCUUUAGGCACAUUUUAUUGUUAUUAUAUAUAUGUGGUAUGUAAAAUAAUUUACCUAUAUUUAUAUAUAAAAUAUAGGUAAAUUUAUUUUGAGAAGAUAACAUUCUUAUAUUUUAUUGGCAGCUAAGAGGCACAUUUUGUUUUUAUAUAAUGCUCACAUAUUUUGAAAAGGGAAAAGUUAAACGAAAAAAUUUCUAAUUUUAUGCAAAUUUGAAAGGCAACUAAGCAUUUUUUAGGCAUUUUAUAUUAGCACCCCACAUUAAAAUUUAAUAUUAAAUGAUUUAUUUACCCUACUAUGUAAUGACAAUUUUGACCUUAUUAGGUUAAACAAAUAUUCUAAAUACACCCCAAAUCACUUUUAACGUAUUAUUUAUUUUCUUCAACUAUCAAAAUCCCUUUGACCCUCCAUUGUUGAACAAAACCCUAACCAAUGAAACUACAAACAUGUUGAUUGAGAAAAAUUAUUUUUGACGAAUGAAACACGAAAUCGAUGUUUUGGAAGCUUCACAUAAGGUAAGACUUCAUAUUUUUUUAUUGUUUUAGUGAUUUUGACGACAUUGAUAAUUAUUUAAUCUUGCUUUUGCUACGUUAUUCAAGCUUCUAUAUUCUUAUUCAUCUUUUAGGGAUCAUAGGGAUUACAUGAAGAAUUAAACACCUAAAAUUACCACCAAAUAUUAAAAACAUGCAACAUGAGUUUUAAUGGUGGAAUUGAAAACAACCCACAUAUGCUUUAAAUCCCAGGCAAUAUCUUUUGUCAAAAUUCAAGUCGGUAUCUUUUGUCCAAAUUAAAAGCUUUAUAAGAUUUGAGAAAUGUGGGGUGUAUAGAAAAUAUGGGGUGCAUGUAGAAAAUGUAAGGUGUAUAUUGAGAAUGUGAGGUGUGAGGGUAUUAUGGGGAAGUAUGUGGGGUGUGUUAAGAGAAUUUUUCAUUGAAAAAAGUAAAUGUGGAGUGUAUUAAGUAUGUGUGGUUUAUUCAACAAUUUGUGGGGUAUUAAUAUAAUAAGCUUUUUUUUUUUAACCAACGUUAUUAUUUACAUUAAAGUGGGAGGAUGUGGGUUUAACUUCAUAAUGAUCUAGCAAUAAUGUGGUUCAAAUUUACCUUUGGCGAGAAUUAAACUUAAGGCCUCUCACUUACAAGUGAAGAGGAAUGUUACUAGACCGUAGUACUAAGUGACAAAAUAACUAAGAACUUAAAAAAGGAUAAAAAUGAAGCGAAUUCAAACCCUAAUAUCAUAUCAUUGUGUUAUUAAUAUGCAUUGAAACCAUGACAUUAAAUUUUGUUUUUAAUCCGACAUAAGUUAUUAGGGGUAUUUUAGGUAUUCAAAAAUACAAAAUUAUGUGAAGUCAAAUUUAAUUAAGAAAAUUGUUGAGUUGGAGUCUAAUCAUUGGGUUUUCGUUAAGAAAAUAUAAUACGGUGAAUUUUAGUUAAAAAGAAAUAUAAUUUCUAUGAAUAAAGUCAUAUUUUCAUUAAUUAGUUAUGUUAGCAUGUAAGUAUGAUACUAGCAUUUCCUUAUACACUUUAUGUGUAAGAACACAUUUUUUUAGAAAAUGAGAAGGAGAGAGGGAGAGAGAGGGAGAGAACGUGGGGGGAAUGAGAGGUUUUUGUUUUUGGUUUUUUUUUAUUUUUUUAUUUUUUAAAUAUUAGAGGUAUUUUAACAUCACCUGUAGGUGAGACUUUAAUAAAAAACAAUAAAAUUUAGACCUAUGAAAUUACAUUAUUGCCCAUCUUUUUUUUAUGAUAGAAGACUAAGUUGUCUUUUCAUCAUUUUUUGGUUGACAAAGAGAGUUUCAUUAAUUAAUAGUGAUAACAUUAUCGGUGCAUACAGGGCAACCAACAAGAGGAUAUGGAUCCAUUGGAUAAAGUUCUGAAAAAUGCAUGCAUGAAGAACAAAACGGUUAUAAUAACUACGUUAAAUGAUGCAUGGGCAGAGCCCAAUUCAAUAUUUGAUCUCUUUCUUGAGAGCUUUAACAUCGGAAGCAACACGAAAUGGCUGCUCAAGCAUUUGCUAGUCAUCUGCGUGGACCAAAAAGCAUAUGCUCGUUGCUUAGCAUCACACCCUCAUUGUUACUUACUUUACACUCAAGGCACCAACUUUACCGGCGAGGUAUUUUAUCUGACUCCCAAUUACCUACGGAUGAUGUGGAGAAGAACCCAGAUUUUGUCUUCCAUUCUCGACAAAGGCUACAACUUUAUCUUUACGGUAUUUUUCUUAGUCCUUCAUUUCUUCCAAUUUUUGCUUUCUUUUCCAUGAAUGAACUAUUUAGUGAAAUUAAUGGUCAGGAUACCGAUAUAAUGUGGCUUCGAGAUCCAUUUCCACAAUUCUAUCCGGAUGCAGAUUUUCAAAUUGCAACUGAUCAAUUCCUAGCUGAUUCUUAUAGUUUUGACAAUCCUCCCAACUGUGGAUUUGUCAAUGUAAAAUCCAAUGAUCGAACUAUUGGGUUUUACAAAUUUUGGUACCUCUCCAAAUACACAUAUCCAGAUACGAAUGAACAAGAAGUGCUUAAUAGGAUUAAAUUUGAUCCCUUCAUUGCCAAGAUUGGAUUGAAAGUGAGAUUCUUGGAUACAAAAUACUUUGGUGGCUUCUGUGAGCCAAGUAAGGAUUUUAACCAAGUUUGCACAAUGCAUGCCAAUUGUUGUGUUGGUCUUGAAAACAAAGUGAACGAUCUCAAAGCUUUGCUUCAAGUUUGGAAAAAUUACAUGUCAUCACCUCGUAACGCCACAGGCACAUCACAAGCUUUAUGGACCGUCCCACAAAAAUGCAGGUAAUUUUAGCCAUCGCUUAUGAAUCUUCUUCCGUUAAGCCCAUUUCUUAUGCCAAUAGUUUUUAUUCAGAUGUGCUAUCCACACUCUUUUUACUUCUCACACAUCUUUGUUAAUUUUUGUCAUUUGAUAUUAUUUAAUUUAGUCGAUCUGAUGACUGCAAAUUAAGAGGAGUUUGUGAAGUAAAAAAGUGUGUGUGGAUAGCACACCCCUUUAUACAUACCUUUUGCAACCAAAUAAAAAAGGUUGUUGCGUUGAUGAUCAAAUAUUUUUGAAACUUAAUUUUGACUUGAGAACCAUCCCAUGCAUGCAUGAAUCUGACGUCUAUAGUCCUACUUCAUCACGUAUGUUGUCACUUCAGGUAGAAGAAAAGGUGGGUUAAAUUCAACGAUGGAAAUUGCUCCCUGCGGAUCAAAUAUAUGUCAUCUUGCUCAUGAUUAUUAUUACAGAACUUAUUUUGCAGCAGUUUUUCUUUUUGCAAUGUUUAUGUGAAGUGAAUUAGUGAAAAGAAUAUACCCUCCAUUUAUGAAUUGUGACAAUUUCAAAUGUACAAACCAGAAGAGAUAGAUAAAUGCCUACAUGUACGUACAAAUUCAAUUUUAUUUACUCACUUAUAUUGUCUGCUAUCAUGUGCAUAAGCGUAGUUGAGGUACUGACUUUAGAACAUUUUUUUUUCCUCACACUUUACUAAGAGCAAUGUUUAAACAAGAUGUUUCAGUUCCACGUUUCCGCUACGUUUGCAGCUGCUUGUUGUUUCCUAUAGCAGAAGAGUUAGGCCGAUGUAUAUUCUGGAGACUUAUGGCUGCAAGCUAACAUGAUCAUAGACACCAAACUUGCCUUUCUCCUUUGUUAGAAAAGAAUAGGGAAAUUUGUCUAAAUUCGUCAUGAACUGCAACCAUCCAACAGGAAGACAAGCAUGAUGCCCACCAGAUGCUCUGGUUUAGUUUAGAUAAAUGAUGAACUGCACCGAGGACUUACGAGUCUGAUCAAGCCAUCAACUGGCUCUGUGGAAUCGAAUCUUGAUACGUGUGCCACUUCUUGUACCUCUGGAACCUUGGAAGAACAGGUCUAGGUCGAGGAGCAGUCGUGCAGUUGGAACAGCAACGUCCUCUUAAAUACUUCACACGGUUCAAACAGCAUCUGAAAUAGAAAUCCUUACGUAAUGCAGAUGGUAUAAUGACACUUAAGCAGUGACGCUUCAACUUGGAGGAGGGAGGGGUGGAUGGAGAGAGAAUAGCUAACAAAAGGAACUUACAGAUACAGCAGAUUGCACUCGAGAUUUGCACUGUUUCUAUGCCUUAACUCACAGACUUGUGAACCACACGUAUAGCACCUAGCGAAUGUAUUAUUCUCUGGAUCUUCAUGUGUGCUUGCUUUAGUCAUGGCUUCAUGCUUGUAGGCAGGCGGUGGGAGAGAGAGACGAGAGUCAAAUACGAACAAAUUCCCAAUCCACUGGACAGGACCUUCAUUCUCCAGAUAAUGAUAAACACCUUCCUUUAUGUGUAUAAAUGUUGAAAGCCCUUUUGUCUGGCAUAUGAAAUUAAAUUACAACUAAAUGUCCAAAAUAAGAAAAGCGAGAGAAGAAGAUAAAGAAUUGAUUCCAACAUCACAACCACGACCCGUUCCAUCACAAAUUUUCCCAUUAAUCAUGCAGUACAAUCAUCAAUAUACAUUGCAAAGGCUGGCGGUUACCUUAGGAUUGUGGAAUAUACAUUGCAACGGAUAUCUCCAGUGCAAUACAUCAAUACAUCUGUUUUUUCUUUAUCAACAUUUUCUAAUGGAUCUGCAGAAAUGACCUGAAUAAGUACUAACAGAGAUAGAAAGUAGUAUGUUCACAUUCGUCACCAGAAAAUGAAGUUUCUACUACCUUCAGAACAUAUUAAUGCCUAAAUUUUCGUAUAUAAAACAGUAGAGUGCGACCUUCACUAUAUAAUACCACAAAAGUGUUGCUUGACUACAAACUAUGGAACCUCCCAACUGCUGACGUCCCUGAUCUUAAAUCUCCAUACCAAGGCAUAAACCUUCACAUCAGAACUUCAUUUCAAACCAUUACACAUCAAUAUAAUUAUGUCUGUGGGACUUCUGCACAGUUUUUUUGUUUUGCCGAAACAACACUACUUCAACCAUCACACUCUGGCUACAAACAGAAUGUCUCCAGAUGUAACAUAUCAUUGAACUAAAAGUCACGUACCUCUGGUUGCGAAAACCCAACGAAGUGCUCCUAAAGCAGUCCAUAUCAGGUCGCCGAGCCCCUUCAAAAUGACCAAUAUCCCAUUCAUAACCUGAUUACAAGCAGUGACAAAAUCUUUAAACUUCUGUGGCUGAAAUUAUGAACACAAUUAUUAUAUGGCUGACGUAGAAGCUACACAAAUAACAAGAAUUGCAUGCGCAAUUAUACAUUAGAAACAUGACCAAGGCAACAUGUCAAACAACACAAGAAGAAACGACAGUGUUAAACAAAUCUAGCUAUCAAGGACUGUUCAAAUGUACAGUUAUGAACAAGUCUUUAUUGAACACUCAAAAUUGUUCCAACAACAAUACGCACAGUUGAAGGGAAUUGCCGGAUUAACGAUAAGAGGAAAAUCAUUUAAAAUUAAAAGGCUAGGAAGUAACAUACCAUUUCUCACCUCCAAUAAAAUCUGGUUUCUUUUAAGAUUGUCAUUUGACACAUCAAUAGUUGUAUUCACUGCUUCCAAUCUCUUUCUUCAUUCAGAUGGAGAUAGAUUUGUUGCUCGCAUUGAAGGGUCCAGCAAAGGAAGAUGUGAAAUACCUCCUUCUAACUGGAAGCGGGGGAGAUAUAUGUUAUGACAUCAGCGACAAGAUGUAGAAGAAAAAGAAGUUCUGUUGGGGCUUGCCUGAACCAGUGAGGGCUUAUACCGCAAUGGCCAUUUGUUGCUGCAGAAACCUGCACUAGGAUGCCGGAAAAUCUCUCGUUUCCUCUUAACCAUUCAAAAUAUGCAACAAGUGCAUCUCUCGACAGCCCACUAUACUGCACACAUGCACAACACAGGAUAUUAAACACACUUCUUAUUUGUUUGUCUUGCUGUAAUAUGUAUGGUUCAUGAAUUCAGUUCACUUGUACAUACAAUCCGGCUGUGGAACGAACGUCCUCCGCAGAGAAUUUCUGCUCAUAAACAUUAGUACAUUACAAAUACAAAGCAAUAUGCUAAGAUAGAUUAUAGCAUUGUAUAAGCAUUUCAUUCAUUCAUUCCACUGAUUUCAUAAGCAAACAUUACAAAAAGAAAGCAAUAAAUACCUGUGCAUUAUCCCUUGUUCAUUCAGAUAUAUCCGCCCACGUAUGUUGAGACCCUCUACGAAAGAGGGAUGCUUGGCCGCCACCGCCACCGCCUCUGCGUCUUUGAUCAUUACGAAAUGGUAGAAAUUCACCACCACCCAUUCGUUAUCCUCUCCCCUGCUUUCGUAGCUGCACUUGCAUUGCAAGCCAACGCCCGCACGACGUCCGCCUUUCCGUUUGCUUCUUUCUGGUAACCAAAGGCAUUGUCUUUGCCUCUGCUGGUUAUGCUCGUUGUGAUUUGAGAAAGAAAGGCAAGCUGUUUGGGCGGCGGAGGAGCAGACUGGGAAUUCAAAUGAACCUUUCCUUCUUCUGCCCACCAAAGCAAUUUGAGUAAUUGUGGAGCUCGACGCACCGGAUAUUACCGCCGGCGCCGGAAAACACCCUCUCAUAUUUUCUGUCUCUCCGUAUCUGUUCAGUCUGUGAGCAGUGAGUGAGUACUGUGGGACUGUUGAUGAACGGAGAGUGACAGUGUAUUCCAUUUGAUACGGCGUCGUAUUACAGUUGCUUUUAUCCAGCCCAAAGACUAUAGGCCCAAUUCAGACGAGUCAAAGCCCAAUACCAACGGCGUCGUAUGGGCUUAAAAUGACCCAAGAAAAAGAAAAUACAAAAAAUACGAUUUAACUUUACUCCGGCAGGUGAAGGGACUCAAUCUCAAAAUUAGGUCGAUAGAUUUCGUUAUCUGAAAUUUGUUCUUGUUGGGGCGCAAAAUAAAAAAACCCUAACCGUAGUGGUGUUGCAAUCCGAUUAUCCGAUUUGGAAAAUCAGAGGAUGGGGGCGAGUCGGAAGCUCCAGGGCGAGAUCGACCGCGUUCUCAAGAAGGUCCAAGAAGGCGUCGACGUCUUCGAUAGCAUUUGGAACAAGGUUUGUAGCUUCUUCUACCUUCCUCCGCUUGCUUACAAAAACGCAAAUUCCAACUGAUAAAACUACUGAUGCUUGUUUGUGUGCAAUGCGAUUAGGUUUACGAUACGGACAAUGCGAACCAGAAAGAGAAGUUUGAGGCCGACCUCAAGAAGGAGAUUAAGAAGCUUCAGAGGUACAGGGACCAGAUCAAGACUUGGAUUCAAUCCAGUGAAAUCAAGGAUAAAAAGGUUUUAUCUUUUUAUUUUCGAUAUGCAAUUUUGAAUUUUUCUACCUUCGUUUGUACUCGUUGAUUUUGGACGUGACAAUUGAUUCAUGUUUUGAUACACGUUGACGUAGGUCAGUGCCUCUUAUGAGCAGGCUCUGGUGGAUGCUCGCAAACUCAUUGAGCGCGAAAUGGAAAGGUUCAAGAUAUGUGAAAAGGAGACAAAAACAAAAGCAUUUUCUAAAGAAGGAUUGGGCCAACAACCUAAAACCGUAACUACUUAUCCUAUAUGUUUCUUUUCAUUCGCCCCUAGUUUUUAAUCAGUUCAUGAUUUUUGUUCUUUGGUAAUACCGUUGUGGCAAUGCUCAUGAUAAUGUGAAACAAAUUGCCAACUGUGUAAUUCCUUUUUAUGAUAGGAUCCGAGGGAGAAGGCCAAAUCAGAGACAAGGGAUUGGAUAAACAACGUGGUAUGUGAAACAAAAGCUUUUUCUUGAAGUCUGUUGUUACCUACUUCUGCUGCCUUAAAAAGCCUGUGACUGUAUAAAACAGUGUGGUUUAGGAUGUCUGCUGCGUUUGUAGUUUAAAUUAUGUCAAUAUUUCAUUUUAUUGCAUGAUCCAUGUUUAAUUGAUGUAUAAGUUUUGGCUUGUGUGUGUGCUCGUGUCUGCUAUAUAUUUAAUUAUAUGUACAAUGGUAAUGGAUGGUUGUUAAAGGGGAACUGGAGUUCUUUAAUUGAUUGAUGGUUGCCAUUGGAGCUGUGGUGCACUGAUUGUCUUUAUUGAAGUUUUAUACGUUUGUUGUUCCUUUUUUUUUUUCCAGUUAUGCUUUAGAUCGCAUUUGUUUCUUAUGUCGUUAUAACUUGACAAUAAUGGUUUUAAACAUCACAUUUGAUGUGAUCGGUUUUACAAGUUAUGUAUUGGAAAUUAUCCAUUAUCACUCAGUGAGUAUUUUUGGUGUUUCAUUGUGUUGAGAAGGUUGGGGAGUUGGAGUCUCAGAUUGACAGCUUUGAAGCUGAGAUUGAAGGGCUAUCUUUUAAGAAAGGGAAGGGCAGACCACCCAGACUGGUAGGAGAAAGAAACCUGCAUUCUUAGGAAACAUGUGGUUUUUCUGCAUCCUUUGACAAAUAUUUUUUUAUUUGUCUUGCAGACCCAUCUAGAGACAUCAAUUACUCGGCAUAAGGCUCAUAUAAUGAAGUUAGAACUGAUCUUGAGGCUAUUGGAUAAUGAUGAGCUGAGUCCUGAGCAGGUCAAUGAUGUUAAAGACUUUUUGGAAGACUAUGUGGAACGCAAUCAGGUUUAUUGUGCUUUGAAUUUUAUAUUUGUUUUGUUUGGGUAUUUAUAAAUAUGCAUAUAGAACAUUCUCAAUCAUGGUCAUGUAUUGCUUUUGAAUUACCUAUGUCAGACUUUUUUUUUAUUUUGUUAUGUUAAUCUUUAGGAGGAUUUUGAUGAAUUUAGUGAAGUUGAUGAGCUUUACAACACCUUACCAUUGGACAAGGUGGAGUCCCUUGAAGAUCUGGCCAUUAUUCCUCCUGGUCUUAUCAAGGUACUUUUUUUUGUUUUUGUUUUGCUGAAUGCAAUUUCUAUUUAAGGUUCUUAUAUUUAGUUGGAGGUUGUAGUUAUUUAAUUUUUCAUUACAUUUGGAAACGUAUCUUGUUAGUUGAGAUAGACAUGAAAAAGAGAGAGAGAAAUGGUUAACAAAGUCUUUUUAAACCAUAAUUCUUUUUAUUACGAAGUAAAUAUUUGCUUAUACGUUUGUUGAUCCUUUAUUGAAUAUAUAACCACUUUGUAAGAUGCUAGUUAAUAAUAUUACUCACUUUGUAAGAUGCUAGUUUUUUUUUUUUUUUUUUUAAUUUUAUUUUAAAGAAUCUCAACUUAACUGUUAUUCAUUUUGUACAAGUUAUCCUGUUACCAUAGAGGAAUCGAUGAAAAAUUGGAAAGUAGAUGGCUUUUAUGGCCUUCCUUAUGCCCCACCAGUAGAGAUGCGCUUGUAACGUUAUAUUUAGAUGCCAGGUUGUCUCAUCUUUGUUAAUUGAGUCCUUAGUUGGGACAUGUGGUUGAUUCAUCUAAACCUAUUCCUAGUUGUUUCUUUAAGUUUACAAAUCAAUUGUUUGCUUAUCAAUUUUGUUGUUUUGCCAUUUGGAUUCCAUUAUCUUUCAUGGUAUCAUAUAUUUUUUAGUAUUUUAAUGACCAUGUCAAAACCCAGUUUAAAUUUUUUAUUUUUGGGGGGCAGGGUGCACCGAUGCUUGGCUUGAAGACUAAUUUGGCACCACCCGCAUCUCCACUGCCUGUAUGUCCUCAAAAUCUUGAGUGAAUGGUACUUGAAUAAGUAGGUGGUUGCAUACUUGAAUCCAUAUGGGUUCUGUUAAGGGAAUUGAAGUUUGCUUCUUUAGUUUUUGAUAAAAACAAUUGCAUUCAUAUUUGGUGUGAUGCUGCAGAGUGCUGUUAAGAUGUGUUUGUAGUAGACAUUUAUAUAACAUAUCUACGGGGUAAUCGUUACUUUUUAUUCUUUUAGUAGAUUUUAAAUCAAAAUUGGUAAUCAAUUGAACUGACCAUUGAUUGAAAGGAAGUUUAAAUUGAAUGAGAAAGUCUUUUUUCCCUCAGGUUUCUAUAUUAGAAUUUUUUAGAAUUUGGAGAUAUGUUGAUGACCUCUGCUUCCUUUCUGUAAGAUGCUGUCUGAUGUUACUGUACUAAAGGUUAGUUUUUCUUUUCCAGCCCGCUGCUACUUCUACUAAUCAGCAGAGUGUUUCUGUCCAAGAGCCAGUUGAAGAUGCAGUUUCCCAGGACAGUAAUGCUGAUAACAUUCCUAGAACUCCACCUCCUAGAAGUGGUGUGCUUUCAUCUUCUCCUGCAUCAACACCAACUGGGAGUCAUGCAACUCCUGUCUCUGCAAGUGUUCCAACUCAUAAUCUGCCCAGUGUGCCAAGUGUUUUGGCCAUUCCAGGUUCAAAUGCUGUUCGGGGUGUCACAGAGAAUGCAGGGGCUGCUAAUUCUUCAUCUCCUGUAAGUUUGUCUGCUUCUGUGAAGGAAGAAGAGUCAGCAAGCUUCCCUGGCCGUAGACCAUCACCAUCUCUUUCUGAUGCUGGACUUGUAAGGGGCAUCAGUCGAGGUGGCUUCUCUGCCCCAAUUCCAUCUAGUAUCCCUGUUAGCUCUAGCAAUGUGUCUCCUAGUAAUAGUGCCCUUGGUGCAGUUCCUUCAGUUUCUGAUGUGACCAAGAGAAAUAUAUUGGGAGCUGAUGAGAGAAUUGGGAAUAGUGGUGUGGUGCAGCCACUUGUUUCCCCUAUAACUAACAGACUGAUCUUGCCUCAAGCUGCCAAGGCUAGUGAUGGAAGUGCUCCAGUUGAUUCUAGUAAUGCUAGUGAGGCUGCUAUACCUGGCAGAGCAUUUUCUCCUUCUAUUGUCUCUGGCAUGCAGUGGAGGCCUGGAAGUUCCUUUCAAAACCAAAAUGAAGCAGUACGUAACUUUUCACUAAGGGUUUCUUCUAUCUUUAUCUCUCUAUUUGUCAUACUCUUUAUUAAUUUCCAGUUUUAUACAUAGGUUGCAUGGCCUUAUGCUACCUCGAAUGUAUACCAUUUGUAGAAUUGAAAAUAUGCUUUUGUUUUGCAGCUUUGCCAUUAUAUCUAUUCUUUAUCUGACUGCAUUAUCGGAUUCAAAUUUUAUGGACUAGUUAGAUUUUGUGAGAUUUUAAGUCAGUUUACCAAUUUUCAGGGGAUAUUUCGUGGAAGGACUGAAAUAGCACCCGAUCAGAGGGAGAAAUUUUUGCAGCGGCUCCAACAAGUGCAGCAACAAGGUCACAGUACCAUUCUUGGCAUGCCUCCUCUUGCUGGUGGAAAUCAUAAGCAAUUUUCUGCACAGCAAAACCCACUUUUGCAACAGGUACUGUACCUUUUGUAGAAUCAGCUGUUGGUUGUGUUUCUUCUGAUUCAGUGAAAUGUGAACAAAUCUAAUUCAUAUCAUACUUUCAUGGAAAGAGAUUGAUAUUUUUCCCCCCACAAGAAUCUCUCUGGCUGCACUUUGUUGGUCAUCCAAUUCAUUGCCCAUUGCUUUAGUUAAUAUCAUGCAUAAUAAUAUCCAUCAUUUAUUACUGAAUGAGAUGUUAGUUUGGUGCAAGAGUUAUUUUAGAUGACAAUUGAUUGUAUGUGCAGUUUAAUCCUCAAAACUCAUCUGUAUCUUCUCAAGCUGGCCCUGGACUAGGGGUACAGCCCCCAGGUCUUGGUACUGUUGCACCUACCACCUUACAGCAGCAGCUAAAUUCUAUCCAUCAACAGUCUAACCAACAGGCAUUGAUGUCGGUUGGACCAAAAGAAACUGGUAAUCUCCAUCCUAAAUUCAGUUUACGAUAUUGUUCUGAUGUUCUAUUUUCCGUUUUUUUAUUUAUGCUAUCUUAUCAUGACCCUUAUUUAUUUUUUCCACCAAGAAGUGAAAAGACUGAAUUGAAUACAGAAAACUCAAAUACAUAGAAUUUUUUUGUAAUGAAAAAAAUUCAGGAUCAAUAAAGAGUGGCAGUUUCUUGUCCAAACCCACACUACUCCAAACACUUGGGAUCAAAUUUAAAAAGUAGUGUACUGUACUGAUCAGCCCAGUGUAACAUGGGUGCACUAUCAUCAAAACUGAAUGAUCUGGUUUAUUUGAUGCAGAUGUAAGUCAUCCAAAAGUUGAGGAACAACAGCAACAACAGAAUAUACCUGAUGAGUCUACUGCGGACUCUACUAGUUCUGGACUCGUAAAGAAUCUAAUGAAUGAAGAUGACUUGAAAGCCUCAUAUGCAGUUGAUUCUCUGGUAUGAAUAUUUUCUUGAUUACUAUAUUAUGAUUUGUUGCCAAUAUUUUUUAUCUUCUUCUGUAUGAUUUUUAACUAGUUAUUGCGGAAAAUUUAUUUUAGUGCAGAGCUGGUAGUAAAUCGUUGUCAUUGUAAGUUGUAUUAUUUUCUUCAAAAAAUUUAGGGUGGUGCUAUUCACACACCUAUUUUUAUCUCUCACCCACCCCUAUCAAUUUUUGGCCGUCGGAUUGAAUGAAUUGAAGAAGAUCAAUGGACAAAAUUUAACAAGAGUGUGUAGGAGGUAAGAAGGGGUGUGUGAAUGGCACUACCCAAAAUGUAAAGGCAUAGCAAGAUGAACAGGUUGGCUACUCUCUGUACCGCCUGCCCAAGAGGAAUACAGAAAAGGACAGGCAAAAGUUGUGUCAAACUUCCUUUAUUCCUAAACGCCCUCCAUUUCACAUAGCAUUCUUACCAAUUUAUUUGCUCUCUAUAUGAUUGUGGUGUGCAUCAUAAAUAUUUUGAUUUAUUUGUGGAAGGAUGGAUGUCCCCACUUAGUGGGAAAAUGCUUUGUUGUUGUUGUUGUGGAAGGAUGGAUGUGGGAUGUGGCUUGAUAUGUGUUACUGAAUCUUAUUUUUUUGAAGGCUGGAGUUUCUGGCUCUUCAACAGAGCCUGCUCAAGUACCACGAGAUAUUGAUCUCUCUCCUGGGCAACCUUUACAGUCCAAUCAACCUUCUCCUAGCCUUGGCAUUAUUGGCCGAAGAAGUGUUUCUGAUCUUGGUGCAAUUGGUGAUAACCUUUCUGGAUCAACUGCUAAUUCUGGGGUAUUGCAUGAUCAGUCGUAUAAUUCGCAGAUGCUUGAGGCUGCUUACUACAAACUUCCACAACCCAAAGACUCAGAACGUGCAAGGAGCUAUACUCCAGUAUGGACCUGAUUAUUUUUAUCAUUUGAUCUCCCUUUUACUGUGAAUAAGAGUCGAGGUUUUAUUUAAUACUCGACUUCAUUCGUUUUGCCAUCAACAGAGGCACCCUGCAAAAACACCUCUAAGCUACCCCCAAGCGCAAGCACCUAUUGUUAAUAAUCCUGCCUUCUGGGAACGGUUAGGUCUUGAACCAUAUGGCACUGAUACCCUGUUCUUUGCAUUUUACUAUCAGCAGGUACUUUUUAUAAAUUGAGUUACAUUUAAUGUCGUAUGGUAGGAUCACUAUAAAGUAUAAACUUGUGUCCAAGUUCAUUAUUGUCUGCAGAACACUUAUCAGCAAUAUUUGGCGGCAAAAGAACUGAAGAAGCAAUCUUGGAGAUACCAUAGGAAAUAUAACACUUGGUUUCAACGGCACGAGGAGCCAAAAGUUGCCACAGAUGAAUAUGAACAGGGGACGUAUGUGUACUUUGACUUUCAUAUUGCAAAUGAUGAUCUACAACACGGAUGGUAUGUUUUAUUUAUCCUUUAGUUUCGCAUUCAAGUUUCUUUGAGUCGUCGUACUUGGUGUUGGGGAGUCUUAAGUAGCCAGAAUUAAGCUCCUCGCCCCCUCUUUUGCCCAAGUUAUUUGAGCGUUUGAGGGACUAGGAGGGGCACGAUUUGAUUAUUUGAGAUAUUUUAAAUGCUAUAGCUUCUAUUAUUGUUAGGAAAUACUGUUGUGAAUAUCACGUUUAAGAAUGAGAAAAACAAAACAAAGCCGGAAAUGAAAAACAAAAUAACCAAGACAAAUAACACCAAAACUUAGCGUGGUUCGGCUAUAUGUGCCUACGUUCACGGGGUAGCAAUAACAAUCUUUCAUUAUAUUAACAAUGAGUACUACGGAUAAUCUUGUCAAUGAAAAACCUGAAAGAACAAGAAUAAGAAAUACACAAUCUGUUUUCUUUUCACACUUUGCCCUUCUCUUACUCUCUGGCUCCUUGAGUGAUAUACAACCUAUUGUUUUGCUCAGAUUCACAACUACUGCAAUAGCCCUUUAUAUAGACAAACUUCAAUAAAGAUUACUAAUCCUGAUUGGAUUCUCCAAUCGAGAAAGCCAACUCCAAUUGGGAAAACAACUUUAGUUGGGUAAACAACUCCAAUUGGGAAACUACUCCAAUUGGGAAAGCAACUCCAAUUGGGAAAACCACUCAAAUUCGGAAAUCAAUCCUAUAAAUCCUAGUAGACUUGGUGUUAAAAUUUCGACUCCCUCUAGAUCUUGCUCUUUGAUGUCUCCGGCAAUAGACUAAAACUUAGCAAAAAAGAGAAAACUAGAAACACACAAGAUUUAUACUGGUUCGGCCGAACUUUUGCCUACGUCUAGUUGUGAUUUCUCUGUGUAGAGAAAUCACAGCUUCUUUGAUUAAUAAUAGAGAUUACAGUACUCUUGCAAACCCUAUCUAGCUUUUUCUCUCAGAUAUUUCAGCCUUGCUGCACCCUAUUUAUAUGUAUGGGGUUCAGCUCACAUGCCCCUUUAUAGAUUAUAUUUUAUAUUCUAAGUGGAAUAGGAAAUUACACUUCCUUUUCAAUUCCAAAUAGACUUAAUAGGAUUCAUAAUCUAAAUUGAAUAAGGAAACUAAGAUUCUUUCCUAGUCCUUUUAGGAGAAGAAUCGUUGCACCCUUUGUUUCCCUAAAACAAUCCUAAACGAAAAAGGACACUAUUUGACGAGCCAAAAAUCCUAACAAUCUCCAACUUGGUGAGUCAAACAAAGUCUUGAUCGUUGCACCCUAGAGUAUCUUUGAACUUUCUUGAAGCAGCUCUGGAAGACAAUCUUCUUCUUGCCUUAUUGCACCUCAAGUGAGGAGGUGUUCCACCUUAAUCAAUCAACAAGAUUGAUCAGGUUCAAGCAAUGCUUGAACUUAUUGGCCGGCACUAUCUUCAUAAGGAAAUUUGCGGCAUUGUCGUUUGUGUGAACUUUUUCAACCAAAAUCUCCUUAGACUCCAUCCUUAUUCUAUGAUACCUUGCUUCAAUGUGCUUUGAUCUUCCAUGAAAAACCUGAUUCUUUGCCAAAGUGAAUGGCACUUUGACCAUCACAUUUUAGCUUCAGAUAAUCAUGAGUGGUUCCCAUUUGACUUACCAAGCCACUAAGCCAAAUUGCUUCCUUUCCAGUUUCGGCCAAAGCAAUAUACUCUGCCUCUGUGGUUGACAAAGCUGUUAUUGGUUGCAGAGGUGCCCUCCAACUGAUUGGUCCUUCUGCGCAUGGAAAGACAUAACUAGAAGUUGACCUUCUCUUGUCUAAGUUCCUUGCAUAAUCAGCAUCCACAUAUCCGAAUGUCUUUGCUUUCUUUUUGCUUCUCAAAUAUAAUCCAUUGUCGCCAAGAACCCUUCAAAUAACCCAAAAUCCGCUUGACUACAUCCCAAUGUUGCUUUCCUGGAUUUGACAUGUACAUGGAAAUGACACUGAUUGCUUGAGCUAUGUCGGGUCGGUGCAUACCAUUGCAUAUAUGAGGCAACCCACGACAUUAGGAUAAGGCACUUUCUCCAUUGUUUGUUUCUCCUUUUCGGACUUAGGAAAUUGUUGUCCGCUUUAUCUGAAGUGAGCCGCCAAAUGAGUUGAAGCUGCAUUUGCUUUUUGCAUGUUGAACUUCUCAAGAGCCUUCGAAAUAUACUUAUUCUGUCAUAGCACUUAUCCAACUAUAUUGCUCAUCACUUGCUAUGGCUUCUCGAUAAGUAGUUGGAUCUCCUUGAUGUUGAGAAUAUCACGUUUAAGAAUGGAAAAAUAGAAUAUACUCUGGAAAUCGAAAACAAAUAACCAAAGAUAAAUAACACCAAGAAUUUACGUGGUUCGGCAAUAUGUGCCUACGUCCAAGGGACAGCAACAACAAUCUUUCACUAUAUCGAUAAUGAGUACAACCAAUAAUCUUGCCAAAUCUCUAGAACUAGGAAUUGAAGAAAAACCUGAAAGAACAAGAACAAGAAAUACGCUAUCUCUUUUCUUUUCUCUUGCACAAACUUUGCCCUUACAACAUUCUCUCACUCCAAACCCUUGAGUGGUACACAAAUUAUUGUUUUGCUCCCUUCUCAAACUAGUACAAUAGUCCCUUUAUGUAGACAUAAUAAAAGUCUUCUUCAAUAAGGAUUACUAAUCCUAAUUGGAAUCUAGUUAUGAAUCAUUCACCAAUUGAGAAACUAACUCCAAUUGGGAAAAUAACUCCAAUUAGGAAAACAAUUGAAUCCUCUAAGACUAUAAUUCCUUAUAGACGUAGGACAACUUAUCAUGGGCUGGAAAAAACCCAACACUUGAUAGCAUAAUUAACUUCGUCUUGGUCAAACCCAAACCUAUAUGGUUUCUUCUUGUUUGGAUUGGGUUUGUCCAGUGACAUGCAUCUUCGGAAUACGGGUGGGUUUUGUGGGUUGGAUUUCGAACCCCUUUGGAUGUUUGGCGGAUUGGAGUGCCUUAAUUUGCCCUAUUUCUUGUUCCACCUGAUUUCUAAUUGGUGAACGAUGCUGAUGCUCGUCUUCCCCAAAAUCAUUAGAUUCGACACCUUGCUUAAUUGGCUCCACCUGAGCUUCAUCUUCCUCUAAUUUGAUUACUAGAAUUCUUGUUGUUUCAAUUUCAACAUCGUCCUUUUCCCCACUGCUUUCGGUUUUAUUCAGAGGCAUGAUUGUCUCAUCAAAGACAACAUCUUGACCGACAGCCUUGUUGAUAUCCCAAAGCUUGAUCCCUCCCUCCUCAAAACCUAAGAAUAAGCAAUGUGCAGACUUAGGUUUGAGUUUGGACCUUUCAUCACUUGUGAAGUGUGAUGUCUUCCUGCUUAUAGUAAUUGGCAAACUCAUUACUUGUACACUCACCUCCAUUGUCACUUCAUCUUUCUUUCAAUUUGAUUCUCGAUUUCUGUCUUCCAUUCCUUGAACUAUUCAAAAACCUCAGAUUUCUGCUUCAUGAAAUAAACCUAUACUUCUAGAAAAAUAAAAGUAACAAAAUACCUAGCUCGACCAUUGGAUUUAUUUGGUGCAGGCCCCAAACAUCUGAGUGAACAUGGCCGAGUUGCUCGUUGCUUUGGUUAUCUGCACUGUUACUUGCGAAUGAUACCUUUGUUUUUCAAGAACACAAUAUUCACAAAAGUCCAGCUUGCAUGUGACACGCCUUCCAAUAGGUCUUUCUUGUGCAAUUCUUGCAACCCUUUUUGACUUAUGUGCCCUAGCCUAUGAUGCUAGAGUUUAGUCUUUUCUUCUUCACUCUGCUUUGUGGAAAUGGCUGCUCCCCCAACUAUCGUAGUCCCAAUUAGCUUGUACGCGUAUUGUAUUGUAGGUCACCUUUCUUGUGCAAUCCUUUGGUUGCCUUGAGGCUUCUUGCUUCAGAACUGUACCCAUAGCCAGUAUUGUCUAAAGUACCAAGGAAAUUAAAUUCUUCAUCACUUUAACGAUAUAUCUGACGUUCCUCAAAGCUCGAUCACUCCAUCAAACAUUUUGAUUCUUACAAUGCUGGUUCCUUUAUAGGACAUGGUGAAUCGUCCUCUAGUAAAACUUCUCUACUGCUGACCUCCUUGUAAAUAUCGAACCAUUCUUUGAUUGCACACAUAUAUGGAAUGUGCAUCGAGUAUCCAAAAUCCAACUUGUGAAAAUCUUGGAGCCUGAUGUUUCCUAUCACUCUCUUGCUGGGUGACUACUUGAACCUGAGCUUCCUUACAUCUUGGCAUUCUUCCAAUGAUCGGGAGAACACAAUCGAAGCAACCUUUUUUUCCUUUUGUCUUCUUGGAUUUUGACCUACUCAUGUUGUUGCUAUUCUUCUUGUCUUUUUCCGUUCCCUAUCCUUGCCUUUGGCAUAAAGGACUUGAGAUCUCUUAGUUAUAUCAUCUAGCAUAGCAUAUGACUGAAGGGCUUGAAUUGCAUCUUCAAGCUUAAGAGAAUACUUUCCAAACAUUCGGGUUGUUUGAAAGUGCUUGAAAGACGAAGGUAGAGACCUUAGCAAGAUGAUUGCCAUAUCUUGGUCUUUGUAAGUUUCAUCGACCUUCUCAAGAUUGACUAUGUAAUUCUGAAACCUACAUACGUGAUCUUCAAUAUCAUCCUUGAGAAAAAGUUUAUUGGAUACGGUUUUGCCCAUAUAAACAUUCUCCAACUUGUCCCAUGCUUCUUGAGCUGCAUCUUUUCUGUGACGUAGGAUCGACUGAUCUCGUGAGACGGAUCUCGACGGAGCUCUUCACCUUCUUGAGACCUUCUUGAGAGCCUUGGUCCAUGCCUAGAAUUAAAACUUGACAAAAAACCUGAACGAAUAAAAAACAAGACACUAUUUAUCUUUUUUCUUUUCUCUUGCACACGCUUUGCCUCUCUCACUCUAGCUCCUUGAGUAGUACAACUUAUUGUUUUGCUCCAAUUCAAAACUAGUGCAAUAACCCCGUUAUAUAGACAUAAUAAAGGUCGUCUUCAAUAAGGAUUACUAAUUCUAAUUGGAAUCUAGUCAUGAAUUCUUCUCAAUUGAGAAGCCAACUCCAAUUGGGAAAACAACUUCAAUUGGUUAAACAACACCAAUUGGGAAAACAACUUCAAUUUGCUAAACAAGUCCAAUUGGGAAAACCACUCCGAUUGGGGAAAACAUUCCAAUUGGAAAAUCAACUUAAUCCACUUAAGACUAUAAUUCCUAAUAGACUUCCGACAACUCAUCAUGGGCUGGAAAAAUCCAACAUAUACAUCUCAAGAAAAAGGGUUGUGUUCCGUUUGCUUCCCAUUUGUGUUACAUUUACAUUUAUGGCUUUGGGGUUUGUUUGUUACAGCACACGUACAAUCAUACUUGUUAUGGAAAACCAAUCAGUUAAUGUGCUUGACAUUUUUGUUUUCAUUGAUAACAUGACGGAUUUAACUGUGAUUAUAUGUUUUGUUGUGGUACGGUACGGUACAGGUGCCAAAGGAUCAAAACUGAGUUCACUUUUGAAUAUAACUAUCUUGAGGAUGAGCUUAUCGUAUAGAAGAUGUUGAGAGGAUGCUACAACGUUGAGCCUAAACCCCCAUGGUAUUUGACAUGGAAAAAAUGAUGACAUUGAGCUUAACUGCUUCGCAUAGUUCAAUUGGGGGAACUUUUGAUACCUUUUUAUUAAACCGUUUGGCCUUUUGUUCUGUGCAGGUUGGGUUACAUCGUAAGAAUGGGGCUGGAAACUCCUUUCGGCUCUGCUUCUUGACCGCGUACAGCUUAGGUUUAAUGUUAUUGGUCGAAUCUAGUUUUCGUAAAAAAUGAAAAUUUUUUGAACAUUUCAAAUUUUAUUGGUACGUGCAUUGAAAAAAAGUUUUAUAAGCUUUUCCGAACCAGUUGGACCAAUUAUUCAAGUCCCGUAAGCACUUUUUACGGAUUUUUAAGGUGGAGAAAUAGAAAAAUGUCGUACCCAGUGCACAAGGCUCCCGCUUUACGCAGGGUCUGGGAGAGGUGAAUGUCGGCUAGCCUUACCCCCAUUUAUAGAGAGGCUGCUCCCAAGUCUCGAACCCGAGACCUACCGCUCAUGGGAGAAAUAGAAAAAUAAAAAUAAUACUUGUGGCGAGCACAAGUGAUAUUUGAGAUCUAAAAAAUUCGUUAAAACUCAAUACCAAUUUAUUGAUAAGUUUAUCGAUAGACUAAAAGGAAAGCAAAGUAGGCUUAGGAUCGCUACUGCAAAAACUAGCAAAAUGGAUCUAAAAUAAUGACAUAUAGCUUAUGGUUUUCUUGAAUACCACAAAUUUUGAAAAAUUUGUAAGCUUAUAGGUAUACUCGUUAAAAAAAGUUUUAUAAGUUCUUCCGAAGUAUUUGGACCAUUUAUAAAGACUAUAAGUAAAUGUUAUGGAUUCGGAAAAUCCUUGAGAGCCAACAUGGAUUACUGAGAAGCUUAUGGAUCAAUCAAAAUGAUACAGAUCACUAUUCUAAAGAUUUUCGAUCCAAAAUUGUGACUUGUAGCUCAGUUUUCAUGAAAAAAGCAAAUUUUAAGCAAAUUUUGAUCAUUUGGUAUUUUUUCGGCAUAUGCAUUAAAGAAAGUACUAUAAGCUCUUUGGAAGUACUUGCACCGGUGUUUAAGACUCAUAACUACAUUUUACGGAUUCUUAAUGUGGUGAAAUAGAAAGAAAAAAAAUUAAAAAGCUGGUGAAAUAGAAAAAAUAAAUAAACACUGAUGCAGAAUGAAAAUGAUAUUUAAGAUCUAGAAAAAUCAUUAAGAGCCCUACACAAGUUAUUCAAAAGCUUAUCGAUCAAUCAAAAUGACAAGAUAAUAGGCUUACGAUCACUAGUUUAGAAAGUAGCAAAAUCGAUCUGUAAUUGUGACUUAUAGCUCACAGUUUUCGUGAAAAUUGCAAGUUUUAAACAUUCUGAGAUCUUGAAAAAUCAUUCAGAACCCUACGCAGAUUAUUGAUCGAGCAAGAUGACAUGAAAGUAGGCUUACAAUUUUUACGAAAAAUGUAAAAUUUUGAACAUUUCCAAAUUUUAGGUAUAUGCAUUAAAGAAAGUUUUAUAAGUUCUUUGGAAGUGUGGGACCAUUUUUUAAGACCAAUAAGUAUUUUUUACGAUUUAUUAAUGUGCUGAAAUAGAAAAAUAAAUAAACACUAACGGAGAGUGAAAAUGAUAUCCGAGUUCUGGAAAAAUCAGUAAGACCUACACAAAUUAUUGAAAAGCAUAUAGAUCAAUCAAAAGGACACGAUAGGUGGCUUAUAAUCACUCGUUUAAAAAUUAGCAAAAUUGAUCCAAAAUCGUGACUUCUAACUCACAGUUUUCGUGAAAAAUGCAAGUUUUGAACAUUUGCAAUUUUUUUAAUAUACACAUUAAAGAAAGUAUUAUAAGCUUUUUGGAAGUAGUUGGACCGUUUUUCAAGACUUACAAGUAUAUUUUAUGGAUUUUUAAUAUGGCGAAAUAGAAAAAUAAACAAAAACUGUCGCUAAGUGAAAAUGAUGUUCGAGAUCUAGUAAAAUCAGUAAGAGCCCUACACAGAUUAUUGAGAAGCUUAUUGAUCAAUAAAAAUGACACGAAAAUAGGCUUACGAUCACUACUUUAGAAAUUAGCAAAAUCGAUCCGUAAUUGCUCACAGUUUUCAUGAAAAAUGCAAAUGUUGAACAUUUGCAAAUUUUUUGGUAUACGCAUUCAACAAUGUUUUAUAAGCUCUUCGGAAGUAGUUGGACCAUCGUUUAAGACCAAUAAGUUUAUUUUACGGGUUACUUGUCACAUCCCCGCCCGGGGUCCACCACAUCCCGAGCCCGCUCCACCACCAUAGCACGAUAUUGUCCGCUUUUGGCUUACCAUUCCCUCACGGUUUUGUUUUUGAGAACUCACGAGCAACUUCCCAGUGGGUCACCCAUCCUGGGAGUGCUCUGGCCUCCUUCUCGCUUAACUUCAGAGUUCCUACGGAACCCGAAGCCUAUGAACUCCUAAAAGGCCUUGUGCUAGGUAAGGAUGAGAAUAUACAUUUAAGGAUCAAUCCCCUGGGCGAUGUGGGAUGUUACAUUACUAAUAUGGCAAAAUAGAAAAUUAAAUAAACACUAGCGGAAAGCAGAAAUGAUAUCCGAGAUCCGAAAAACUCAUUAAGAGCCCUACACAGAUAUUGAAAAGCUUACUGAUCGAUCAAAAUAGCACAAAAGUAGGCUUACAAUCACUAGUUUAAAUAUUAGCAAAAUUGAUCCUAAAUCAUGACUUAUAGCUCACAGUUUUAAUGGAAAAUGAAACUUUGGAACAUUUGCAAUUUUUUUGGUAUAAGCUUUAAAGAAAGUAUUAUAAGCUCUUCGGAAAUAGUUAGACAAUUUUUUAGGACUCCUAAGGAUAUUUUACAGUUUUUUUUUUUUUUUUUUUUUUUUUUUUUGUGGUGGAAUAGAAAAAUAAACAAACAUUGGCGCUAAGCAAAAAUGCUAUAUGAAAUCUAGUAAAAUCAUUAAGAGCCCUACACAAAAUAUUGAGAAGCUUAUUAAUCAAUAAUAUGACACAAAAGUAGGCUUACAAUCACUACUUUGGAAAUUAGCAAAAUCGAUCAGUAAUCGUGAUAGCUCACAAUUUUGGUGAAAAUGCAAAUUUUGAACAUUUGCAAAUUGUUUGGUAUACACAUUCAAGAAUGUUUUCUAAACUCUUCAGAAGUAGCUGGACCAUUUUUUUACGACCUAUAAGGUUUUUUUUAAGGGUUAUUAAUGUGGUGAAAUAGAAAAAUAAAUAAACACUAGUGGAAAUGAUAUCUGAGAUCCAAAAAAAUCAUUAAGAGCCCUACAUAGAUUAUUGAGAAGCUUAUUGACCAAUCAAAAUGGCACGAAAGUAGGCUUAUGAUCACUAGCUUAAAUAUUAGCAAAAUUGAUCCAAAAUUAUGACUUAUAGCUCACAGUUAAUGAAAAAUGAAACUUUUGAACAUUUGCAAUUUUUUUGGUGUACGCUUUAUAGAAAGUAUUAUAAGCUCUUCGGAAGUGGUUCGACAUUUUUUUAGGACUCAUAAUCAUAUGUUACGGAUUUUUAACGUGGUGAAAUAGAAAUAAAUAAAUAAAUAAACAUUGGCGCUGAGCGAAAAUGAUAUUCGAGAUCUAGAAAAAUCAUUAAGAGACCUACACAGAUUAUUGAGAAGCUUAAUGAUCUACCAAAAACAUAAAAGUAGGCUUAUGAUCACUACUUUAGAAAUUAGCACAAUCGAUCCGUAAUCAUGACUUAUAGCUCACAUUUUUUGUGAAAAAUGCAAAUUUUGAACAUUUGCAAAUUUUUUGGUAUACGCAUUCAAGAAUGUUUUAUAAGCUCUUCGGAAGUAGUUGGACCAUUUUUUAAGAUCUAUAAGUUUUUUUGGUUUUUUUACGGAUUAUUAAUGUGGUGAAAUAGAAAAAUAAAUAAACACUAGCGGAGAGUGGAAAUGAUUUCCGAGAUCUAGAAAAAUCAUUAAGAGCCCUGCACAAAUUAUUGAGAAGCUUAUUGAUCAAUCAAAAUGACAAGAAAGUAGGCUUACGAUCAUUACUUUUGAAAUAUCGUGAUCUAUAGCUCACAAUUUUCGUGAAAAAUGCAAAUUUUGAACAUUUGCAAAUUUUUUGGUAUACGCUGUUUUAUAAGCUCUUUGGAAGUAGUUGGCCCAUUUUUAAAGACCUAUAAGUUUUUUUUUUUUUUUUUUUACGGAUUAUUAAUGUGGUGAAUGUAAGAUCUCACAUCGACCAACGGAGAUGGGGUGAUGUACCUUAUAUGUACAUGCUCCCCUCCCUAUAGUACGAGGCAUUUUGGGAACUCACUGGCUCCAUAUCCCAUAAGAACUCCGAAGUUAAGCGAGUUUGGGCGAGAGCAAUCCUAGGAUGGGUGACCCACUGGGAAGUUCUCGUCUGAGUUCCCAGAAACAAAUAUGUGAGGGAAUGGUAAGCCCAAAGAGGACAAUAUUGUGCUACAACGGAGUCAAGACUAGGAUGUCACAUAAUGGUCUCAGAGCCACUCUGCUGUUCGGUGCGAAUGUGCCGGCGAGGACGCCGGGUUCCCCUUAAGUGGGGUGGAUUGUAAGAUCUCACAUCGACCAACAGAGAGGGAGUGAUGUGUCUUAUAUGUACAUGUCCCCUCCCUAUAGUAUGAGGUUUUUUAGGAACUCACUGGCUCUGGAUCCCAUAAGAACUCCGAAGUUAAGUGAGUUCGGACGAGAGCAAUCCUAGUAUGGGUGACCCGCUGGGAAGUUCUCGUCUGAGUUCCUAGAAACAAAUCCGUGAUGGAAUGGUAAGCCCAAAGCGGACAAUAUCGUGCUACGAUGGAGUCGAGACUAAGAUGUGACAGUGAAAUAGAAAAAUAAAUAAAUGCUUGUGGGGAGUGGAUGUCCAAGAUCCAAAAAAAUCAUUAAGAGCCCUAAACAGAUUUUUUUUUUUUGAACAAACAAUAUUAUCUACACUAAGGGGAAGGGUGUGAGCUUAUCUUCACAAUGAGCUAGCAAUAAUAUGGUUCAAAUUCGCCUUUGACGAAUAUCUAACCUAAGACCUCUCACUUACAAGUGAUGAAGAAUACCACUAUAUCGUAGUACUAAGUGGCUGCCUAAACAGAUUAUUGAGAAGCUUAUUGAUCCACCAAAAUGCCAUGAAGUUGGCUUACGAUCACUGGCUUAAAGAUUAGCAAAAUUGAUCCAGAAUCAAUGAAAAAAGAAAAAAAGAAACUUUUGAACUUUUGCAAUUUUUUUGGUAUACGCUUUAAAGAAAGUAUUAUAAGCUCUUCGAAAGUAGUUGGGCAGUUUUUUAGGAUUCAUAAGGAUAUUUUAUGGAUUUUUUUGGUGGUGAAAUAGAAAAAUAAACAAAAACUGGCGCUAAGCGAAAGUGAUAUAGUAAAAUCGUUAAAAGCCCUACACAGAUUAUUGAGAAGCUUAUUGAUAGAUCAAAAUGGCAUGAAAGUGGGCUUACGAUUACUAGUUUAAAUAUUAGCAACAUGGAUCCAAAUCGUGAGUUAUAGCUCACAGUUUUAAUGAAAAAUGAAAUUUUGAACAUUUGCAAUUUUUUCAGUACACACUUCAAAGAAACUAUUAUAAGCUCUUCGGAAGUGGUUCUACAGUUUUUUAGGACUCAUAAUUAUAUGUUACGGAUUUUUUAAUGUGGUGAAAUAGAAAAAUAAAUAAACACUGGCAUUGGGCGAAAAUGAUAUCCGAGAUCUGGAAAAAUCAUUAAGAGCCUUACAUAGAUUAUUAAGAAGCUUAUUGAUCAAACAAAAUGACAAGAAAGUAGGCUUCCGACCACUACAUUAGAAAUUAGCAAAAUCCAUCCAUAAUCGUGACUUAUUGCUUACAGUUUUCGUGACGCAAAUUUUUUGGUAUACGCAAUCAAGAAUGCUUUAUAAGCUCCUCGGAAGUGGUUGGACCAUUUUUUAAGACCUAUAAGUUUUUAUUUUUUUAAUU